rnacentral:lncRNA from 1 species
GUCCCAAACUCUCUGGGGAACUGCCUGAGCUCCUGCCCUCCUUGGAGACACUUGUUGUUAGUAAAUGUGAAAAGUUGGUAGUUCCAUUGUCUCGCUAUCCGAUGCUCUGCAGAUUAGAAGUUGAUGAGUGCAAGGAACUAGCGUGCGGUCGUCCAAUUGAUUCUAAGUUGAUAGAGUCCAUGACUAUUUCAAAUAGUUCAUUAGACGUGAAUGGACGCAAGGGGAUGCUAUAUGAUGGUCCAGCUGGCUCUUCACUGCCAAAGCCCAUGACUACUACAAAUGUUUUGGAGUUUGGAAAAUUAUUGAAGCCCAUGAUUGCUACAAAUGCUUUGGUAAUUGGCAAUUCUGAACAGCUCAAGUCAUGGAGUUUUUUUAUUGAACCAGGGCUACAUUUGCUCGCUCACAAUGAGGAGGUAUCAAUUGAAGAAAGUUGCGUACGUCUUGUUUCGGUUCCAGAGAUCAAUUUCUUUCCCAGAAAUCUGCGCUCUCUUCGAAUUUGCAACAGCACAGCUUUGAAAUCCUUACCCGAGGAAAUGAUGGAAAACAAUUCACAACUGGAAAGGUUGUAUAUCAGAGAUUGCGACUCUCUAACAUUCAUCGCAAGACGGAGGCUACCAGCAUCUCUUAAAAGGCUCGAGAUAGAAAAUUGUGAGAAAUUGCAACGUCUGUUCGAUGAUGAAGAGGAUGCUUCUUCUUCUUCUUCUCCUGCAUCCUCGUCUUCCCCAGUGAUGCUGCAACACCUGAGUAUAGAGAACUGCCCAGAGCUCACCAGUUUAUCAUCGGGUGUCCAAUUCCUUGAGGCGCUUGAAGACCUCGAGAUACAGCAUUGUCGAAAGCUGGAGUCAAUACCGGAUGGCCUGCCCAAUCUUAAAUGUUUACAGAGCAUUUAUAUACGGGAUUGUCCAAGUCUUGUUUCCUUCCCAGAAAGAGGGCUUCCCAACGCCAUUUCAAGUUUUGACAUUUCCAGAUGUGACAAGCUCGAAGCCUUGCCCAAUGAUUUGCACAAACUCAACUCUCUUCGAGGGUUAAGCAUUCUGCGGUGUCCAAAUCUUGUAUCGUUUCCAGAAGAAGGUUUUCCUACCAAUCUAACAUCACUUACAAUUGGAUAUUUCAAAAUGUAUAAGACACUCGUCCAGUGGGGGUUGCACAGGCUUACCUCUCUUCGAGACCUCUGGAUCAUUGGAUGUGAUGAUGAAGCAGAGUGUUUUCCAGACGAGGCGAUAGGAAUGACGCUGCCCACCUCUCUCACUGUACUGGGCCUUACGGGAUUCAAAAAUUUGAUAUCUCUGUCUUCGACGGGUUUUCAGAGCCUCAACUCUCUUCGAUCUUUGUGGAUAUUGGGUUGCCCAAAUCUCACAUCAUUCCCAGAGGUGGGCCUACCAUCCUCACUUUUGGAAUUACACAUUGGAGAUUGUCCAAAGCUUAAAAAAGCGUGCAAAAGAGAUCAAGGAAAAGAGUGGCCCAAAAUUGCUCACAUCCCUCUGGUUUUGAUAGACGGUAAAUUCAUAUACGAUCCAGAAGCAGAGGAGUAGAUUCUACUAUUAAGGUCAGUUGAUUUGUAUUAUCAGCAAUAACAAGCUCCUCCUAUUUGUUAAGGUAAUCACUCACAGAUGAAAUUAUAACUUUUAUCUUAAAUUUAUUGCCAUUGACAGAUGGACGAUUUUUAGUCCAAAGUUUUGUUAUUCACUUCAAUCAAAAUUUUAGAUUGCAGAUUUUUGUCAAUUAUUUCAUUUUUUAUUUUAUUUUAAAGCAGAAUUGGAUUAUAACAUUUGGAGCGCGACGACUCUGAUGCAUGCAAUUAACUGUUUUUAAUCGUUGGAUUUUGAAAUUAAUGAUGGUAAGAUGUGUACUUAUUUUUUCUUCCGGACAACCUUGCCUUCUUUCUUCGGUAGCAUAUCUAAUGAAUAUUUCUCUGUUUAGUUAAGGAUGAAUGCUUGGAGUGGAGUAUUUGAUAACAUUUCUGCCGUAGAUGAAUCCUUGAAGAAAUGCCUGCACUUCCUGAGACCAAAUACUGGUCUGAUUCAAAACAGCACCUGUCCCAGAAAAUAUGAUUCAAGACAAAGCCAUGUUCUGAAGCAGAAAUGAUGCAUUUCAAAUUUUGAAAUGAUGCAGAAAUGAUACAACAGUUGCAGUAUCCGAGGUACCUUUUCCAUUUAACUGGCCUUUAUUUGUUUUGCUUGUGACUUAAGAACACAUCAUUUUCCAGAGAUUUGGAGAAGCAUCUCAAGAUGCUUAACAAACUUGACAAGCUUCAAGAUGCACUUGCUCCCAAGCCUUGAUUCUUCACAAUGGAAAACCUGUGAGUACACUUAUGCCCGCAAUUAUUGUUAAGUGUUUGCAAUUUUGAUGCAGCGAAAUGGUUUGUGGAUGCAAAGCUUUAAAACUGUUAAGAACUACCCUGCAGGCUUGUUGGAUGUUGUAUACUUCAAAAGCCACCAACACCAAGAACUACAACAGCAAGACUAGGUUUGCGUUGCUUCAAUCAGCUGAAAUAAUGAUGCAAAUUGACACUAUCAAGCUGGACUUAGAGACUAGUCAGGUCAAUCAUCCAUUUCAUCAACAGUUAAUGUCAUGAUGGUGGCUAUCAGAGGAAACAAAAGAUCUGUUGGAAUCAAUUCAAACAGUGAGAAGCAUGAGAGGAGCUUUGAUUAUAAAUAGGCUCAAUGAGCUCAUGCUGGUAAGUGGUAAUUAAGAAAUUUGUGAGCUUAGUAUAGUUUCAAUUUUUUUCUGUUUGGGAUAUAGUUGAUAAGUUGAUACUCUGAUUAAGAAGCCUGAUUAUAGUAGCUGACUGUGCUAACUGCGUUCUUUUAUUUUUUAUUUUUUUGGUUUGCUGUCGUUUUUUCUUUUGAUUAUUUGUUCAACAUUAGAUUGAUCUGUUGAAGACUUUGAGGAAGAUCCAGACUUGGAUGCAGGCGUGCAGCUCUUAAUAGGUGAGACCAAAUGAAUGCUUUAACCAUGUUUCUCACUUAUGACAAUGCACGGAUCGAAGGCAUCUGAGUUGAUCCAGAAAAUGAGAUGGAAAUACGUCUCUGUUUUCAUAAAACAGAACAAAUAGAGAUCUCUGAUCACUCCUGAGAAUUCAUUGCAUUGAAAUUUCUACCAUUGCCAAACAUAGAAUAAACUGGGGAUACAUUAGCUUUAGACUCAAUUUUGAGGAGGAAGUUUGUACUUGCAGCCUAUAAAAUCAUAUCCCUGUUGUAUGUUUCUUUGGGAAAUGAAAGAUUCUGUGUGUUCUUUUAUUUCAAGUUUGCUGAAAUCACAUUUGUUUUCUAAGAUGCUUUACAGAAGGUACCAACAUCAUUUUCAAAAAUGCUGGGGUAAGAUACAUCGUGCAGUGCUCCUCAACAUGAGAAUUCCUGGCCGCAUUACCCAUAUGUGGAAUGAUCUGAGAGUACAACCGUGAGAAUGUUGUAAGGAGUACACAACCAGAUGUGAGUAGUUUGAAAAUGAAUUCGCAUGGAAUGAUUUCUUGCCAGUGCAGAAAUGGCUUGGUUCAAAAGUGCUCAGCUUCAUUGACACUCUUCGGUAGGCCUCUCCGUCCUUCCAUUCUUAACUACAAUACUACUCUUGUCUGUCUAGUUAUGGAAUCUCUCUUUUAAUCCUCAAAGUUUGAAUUAUAUUAUAUUGCCUCUGUGUUUCCGCAGAAACUGAGUCAGUUGGUGAUCCUUCAAAACAAGAAAAACCAAAAACAGAUACAGCGCGCGAUAAGAUAAUGAGACAGAUGGCUCCCGUUGCUGCAUGCCACUUGCUUGUGUGCGUAUUGGGACCAUCAUCAACAACACUGAUGUAAACCCAGCUCAAGGUGGGAAGCUAGUUCGAGCUGCAGGGACGUUAACCAAGAUUUUGAGAAAGAACCCACUUCAAGGUAUUGCUUAGUUAGGCUACGUUGUGGAAAUGAGAAAGUGAUUGACCCUAGAUGUCGCGCCACCAUUGGUACAGUGUCUAACCCCAGCCAUGGAGCUAAAAAGCUUAGUAAGGCAGGUCAGAGAAGUUGGUUGGGUCGAAGAGCUGUGGUUAGAGGAGUAGCCAUGAUUCCAGUUGAUCACCCUCAUGUUGAACGAAGCAAAAGUAGCGGUAACAAUGGAAGGUGUUCACUCACACCUUGGGGCAAGCCUUGUAAGUCUGGGAAUUAAACUGCAUCUCCUAAGAAGAAAGAGAAAUCAGCUGUCUGAUAAUAUUGUCCUUUUCUGCUAUUUGGUCUUUUUAACAUUGUUACACUGUUUUUACAUCUUUGAGGUUAGUUUUAGACCAAUUUUUAACUGAUCCAUAAUAAAAAUUGAAGUUUAAUUUUUGAUUAACUUUCACUGGUUUUACUCUUCUGUCACUUCAAUUUAGCAUUGAUUUAAGAUGCUGAAUUCUGUGCUUGGAGCUUGUAAAUUGGAAAGAGAUAUUUUGGGAUAGAAUGUAGAUUUUGUGUUUUGCUUUCUCAAGCUAGUUGUGACUUCUUAAAAGAGUCAAUCCAUGUCUUUAUAUAUUUUUCUUUUGUCUUGAUUCUGUUUCUUCAUACAGAUUCUUAUUUUAUGCUUCACAUACCACAUGAAAGAUGAAAGCUUUUUCUGUGAUUAGAAUUGAAUUGCAUCAUAGUAACUUUAAACCACUGUGACAUUUUUAUAAUAGCAGUCUAAGAUCUCCUUGAAGGAUUCAAAAGCAUUUCAUUCGAUAGUCUUGGCUUCCAUUAUAAACUCCUUUAUAUAGAUUGGUUGGUCUCUGUUAAAAGCAAUGCCUGUUUUAAGUAAUCAAAAUUUGGGGUUAUUUCUGAAGUCUUCUGUAUCAUCUGACUAAAUUACAUGAAAGCACACUUGGCUACAAAAAUACAUUUGGGGUUAUUUCUGAAGUAUUCAAUAACACCUUUUCCCCCUUUUUCCCCCAUGGUGGUUUUUUUUAGUUCUCUUUAUAGGUUUCUGAAGUAAUUCCAACAUAAGCAUUUUUUUCAGAAGCACUUUAGAUGUGUGGCAUUUAGAAAAUCUCAUUCCAGUGUUCACACAGUAUAAAGCAUAGAGAGUUGGAUUCAUUUUAUUUACGUACAUGUGCUAGUGCCCACUGGCAUCCACUUUACUUGUAUCGGUCAAAAGUUUUAUGCAAUACAAUAUUAGCGUCGAGGAGAACGGGUUGGUGUUGGUCUGAAUUCUGAUAUUUGAAUAAAUAUAACAGCUCAUGUGACUCCACCACUUUUUACUUGUUCUGUAGUCUGUACCUACCUCCAUUGUCGGCACUGCCCAUACAAGGUCUUUUAGCUUUUUAAAAAGUUUCAUGAUAUUCCUUAGUUCACAUGGAUUUCUACAGUUUGUAGAAAACCUAAUUAGGGCACAUUUAAUUAAUAUGCAGAAGAUUCUUUUUUCUUGCUCACCAAUAAUUCUUUGUACUUAUUUGAAAGAUGUGUUUCAAAAAAAUUAAAAAAAAAAUAUUUGAAAGAUGAGAAAUCCCUUAGCCGAACGACAAACUCAUCUAUCAGUCCUAUAAAAAAAAAAUAAAUAAAUAAACUCAUCUUUUAGUGGUUUUUUUUUUUUUCACUUGUAUUCAGUCGCACAAGUGAAGAUUGUGGGCAAUUUUUCCCUUCAGUAAAAUUCGAAUAGAUGUUUUUAUUCACACAAAUUUUCGAGCUAUGUUUGGGAAACCCUUAAGACUUUGUUACGAUGAUAUGUAUCUAAGCUUUCAACAGACCGUUGAGGUCUUAUUAUCAAAAUACUAUAAAUUUACAAUUCGAUUUUGAUAAGGACUAGUUUAAUAAUGCUGUAAUUUUUAAAAUAAUUACCGUUUACUGUGUUGUAAAAAUAAUCAGUUAUGAAAAGAAUCAAUUAAAUAUUUGGUAAAUUUUAUUUUUAAAAGUGCUUUGAAUUUUAAAAAUAGUCAUAUGUAUUCAGAAAAUCUCACUUCUAAAAUACUGUAAGAAUGCAAAAAACUUAAAAAGACAAAUGUAUAAAAUUUAUUUACACAUGCACUUAUAAAUAUGUGUAUAUAAUAACAUUUUAUGUGUACAUAUAAUAAUUGAUAACUAAAAUAAAUAUUUUUUUUAUUAAUUAUUUUUUUGUCUCAAUAUAAUUGGUAAUACUUUUUUUAAUCUUCGCAUCCUAAGUUUUUUUUUUAUUGUUUUGUACAAAAUUCAAGGUUUGGACUUUUAUAAAAUGUCCACUCAAAAAUAAAUUGUUUUCUAACUAAGAUUUGUUGCUAAUGUAUAACUCAAAGUAAUACUAGAUAUUUGUAAUUUUAUUUCAAAAUUUUUAUUCAAAUGAUAUGGUAACUAAUGUACAUUAGUUGAUAGCAAUUUUUUUUUUUUUUACAAUGUUCAAAUCAAUCAAUUGCAUCAUCUCACCAUUUUAUCAAUUGCAUCAUCUCACCAUUUUUUUAUGAUGUCGUGUUAUUUUAAACGAAUUUUUUAUUUUUAUAUAAGACAUUCUAUGUUUAACAUCAUUUGCAUAACUUGACCUUUUUUUUUUCCUACAAAUAGUAAGUCAAAUUUACUCACCCUAUUUCUACCUAAAAUCUACCUAACACUCAUGCAUCACUGUAAAACAAAUCCAAAGAUUGCGGUACGUUUUUCUUGGUAAGAAAUCAAUAAUUAGGUCAAGUACUACUACUAAGCGUGCUCAAUUAAUUCUAAAAUACGGUGAUCAAACUCAUACUUCACGCAAGAGGAUAAGGGCUGAACCGCAAUUAGGCAUUAUUCAUCCAAAAUUCAUUGACUGGGCAUUCUUUGCAAGUUGUAGCACGGGACAGCUAAGAUUAGCAAAUGAUAUGGACCAUACGCACCCAUACAUUUGUGACAUGUGAAUCUUGGCAUUAAAGGAAAGGUAAUGCACUAAAAUUUAAUAGCGCCCAACUCUUCAUUGAAUGAUUAUCAGAUCCAAUGAGCAUCCUUUGAUUGGAUUAAUUUAAGUCAAUUAUUGGUGGAUUGGGGCCCGCUUGACUCUACCAAAUCGGGCUCCGCCAUAUCACCUAUUAACGACCACCUGUCCUUAUCAUAAAUAGCAAAUGUCACUUGUUUUAUUUUGUAUUUUACCAAAAGUAAAGUCACUACGAACCCAAAUGAAAGUGACCUCAAUUUUGGGGGUCAUGAACUUUGGAUUAUUAUGGACACAAGAGACAAGCGCAAUGUUUCUCAUUUAUCACUGGAUAAGAUUUAAGUUAUCAACCCAACAUUAAUAAAUUCUGCUUGAGAAGUAAAGUUUGAAGCUUCAUUUUGCGAAUAUUCAAUGGUUAACAUUUAAGUAAUUAACCUGAUAUUAAUCCAAUUAAACUUUUUAUGUAAUCCAAGUCAAAAACAUAUUGAUAAACCUAAAUUAAUCUAAUUGGACAUAUUAUUUCAACUUGAAAAGGUGAAUCUAUCAUUUUUCAAUUAAUUUUGAAUCAAGCUAUGUAAAAUAUAAGCUUAUUAAAGACAUAUUUUUAUCAUGUUAAAAUAUCGAAGUACUUCUUACUCAUUUCGUAAUAACAUUAACAAACCUUUUGGUAAAUUUGACAGUCCAAUCAAUUCAGUUGGUUUUUUGUUAUUGAAACUCCAACAAAAUUUAUGACGAUUAUUAAAAACCCAUUAAAAAAAAAUGAAGGUAACUAUUUAAAAAAUUCUAAUUGAAUUAUUUAACAACUACAUUUCAACUAAAUUGUGUUGCUAAUUAACUUCCUCAACUUAAACUAUAUUUUUCUGAAUUAAUUCAUAACAAAUAAUGUUAGAUAUUUUAUUCGAAUAAUAACAUUCAACAUCCUUAUUCUUUAUGAUUAUUGCAUAAAAACAUAUUUUAUCCAUUUACAUCACAUAUGUUCCUAAAUUGUAUAAGAAAAUCACCAAAUUUACUCUUGUAAGUUACUAUAUCAAUGAACAUGAAAUUCACUAAUCAUUAAAGUCUCGGAAUGACAUCAUGAGAGGGAUUCAGUUACAUUUAUUGAUAGGAUUAGAUAUAUGUCUUCUCAAAUAUUAGUAGGAGCAAUUUAACAGAUGCAGCUACUAAAAAUAUAGAAUUACUUAUCUCGUCAAUAACUAACGAUAUUUUUUAUCUAUGCUCAAUAAAUUGUAAUAUUUGUAGAUUGUAACAAUUGUUAAAAAAAAAAAGCUCCCUGAGACUAAAUGACAAAAGGACUGUUUUGAAAUAGAUAGAUAAAAUAUGCCCUUAUUUGAAAAAAUGUAAAACACUAGGGAUCUAAAUGUUAUUAUAAUCCCAUGCACAAAAAUACCAAAAAUAACUAAUAACAACUAACCGAAAAUCCCAGGCGUCAUAUUCCUUUUUUCCGCGUUUUAAAAUGCCCUCUGAUUCAUUCACAGUCAGACGCUGUCGGCAUUUCUCUUCUCUCCCUCUCUCUCCACGUAUUAAAACAUGUAAAGUACGGAAAAAUUUAAAAAAAUUUUAAAAUUACAUAAUUUAAAAGAUAUAAAAUUAUACGGUUUUAAAAUUUUUUUAAAUUUUUUCGUAUUUUAAAAUUUCGGACUAAAAAAUUAUUAUACGAAUACUUCGUAUAACCGCUUUGCGCUUAAAAUCUGUGCCUAACAAACUCACGAAAUCACUCCUCAUUUUCCUCUCUCCCUCUCCUCCUCUCAUUCCCUUUCAAAUCCUUCCACCACCUUCCCCGCCUCUCUCUCUUUCUCUCUCCCCUCACCGCCACAGCUCAACUUUUCCAUGUAAACCACCACGGGCGCCGUCGUUUCAACCUCCCACUCAUCCGACGUCGUUUUGUGUGAAUAAGAUAACGAUUUAAAUUAAAAUACGAAAAUGGAGAACUUAACGGCGCAGUUGAAGCGAGGGAUAUCGCGGCAGUUCUCGACGGGAUCGCUGCGGCGGAGCCUGACGAGGCAGAUGUCGAGGCAGUCGUCGUUCGAUCCGAGGAGGAAUAACAUGAGGUUUAGCUUCGGGAGGCAGUCGUCGUUGGAUCCGAUACGCAGGAGUCCGGUUCAGGACGAGUUGACGGUGCCGGAGAACCUUGACUCGACGAUGCAGCUGUUGUUUAUGGCAUGCAGAGGUGACGUCAAGGGAGUCGAGGAUUUGCUGAACGAAGGCAGUGAUGUCAACAGCAUUGAUCUUGACGGACGGUUUUGGCGAGAAAUCAAAGAAUUAAGAGACAGUAUUUAGUUAAGCUAAUAGUAUUUGUUCUGUUUAGUACGUCGUUUUACCAACAAGCAUCCCGGCAUUGCACGCAUUAAUAAAUUUUUUUUAUCUGUUUGGACUGAUGGUGGUAAAAAAUUCCACAUACUUUAUAUUAAAAAGGAAAAAGGACAAACACACCCCUAAUGUCAACUUGGAGGGGGGUCGAUUCCGAGCUCAAGAAGUGGGAAAGAAAGCUGAAGAUGAUUCAGGCGGUGCUCAAUGGUGGGUAUGACGGCAAAAAUAAGUUGGAGGUUUUCUAUGAAUUUGAACAUCUAAGAACAUUCUUCCCAUUACACAUAAGAGGUGGCUCCAAAACUGGUUACAUAACUCGUGUGGUUCUAACUGAUUUGUUGCCGAAGUUUAAAAGGUUGAGGGUGCUAUCUUUACAAGGAUACCAUAUUGGACCAAUUCCAUUUGAAGAUUUGAGACUUCAAAGUAUAAUUACCCAAAGUAUAAUUACCCAAAGUAUAAUUACCCAAAGUGUAUACAAUAAAAGCCAAAUUUAAGAAAUUCCUCAACCUUGCUGACACUGACAUAAGAAGUUUACCUGAGUCAACAUGCUCAAUGUUGAACUUGGAAAUUUUGAUAUUAAGAAAUUGUUUCCGUUUGAUGAAACUCCCGCCCAAAAUGAGGAACUUGGUUAAUUUACACCCAGACUCUUUUCUUUUGACAUGGGGUUAACGAUCAAAGUUGGUUUCGUGCGGUAUAUAUUUACAAAUUGAUAGGUAUGCCUGGUAUGACUGCUUAUGCUGGAUUUUAUGAGGUGUGCUCUCCUAAGCAAGGAGAGUGGGUCUUAAUAUGGGCAAGGGUGCAGUUGGUCAGCUUAUGGGGCAGUUUGCAAAGUUACUGGGCUGCUAUGUUGUCGGAAGUGCUGGAAGCAAAGACCAGGUAUACAAACAAACAAUCCGUAUCAGUUGCUUGAUUGUUCCCAUUUUGCUUUCAAAAUAUCUAACUUACAUAAGGAAAAUUUUCACCAUCUCGUCUUUUCUUUGAUUUUGAACGCUAAGAUUGAUCUACUGAAGAAUAGGCUUGGGUUCGAUGAGGCGUUCAACUAUAAAGAAGAUCCUGAUUUGAAUGCAGCCUUGAUAAGGUUAGUAUAUCAGCAAACUACAAAUUAGAAGACAUUUUUUCCUGAAAAUCAAAUAACGUUUCUAAUUUGACAGGUGCUUUCCUGAAGGCAUUGACAUAUACUUUGAAAACGUUGGUGGGAAAAUGCUCGAUGCGGUGCUGAUCAACAUGAAAAUCGGUGGUCGAAUUGCUGUGCGUGGGAUGAUCUCGCAGUACAACCUUGACGAACCCAAAGGCGUACACAACUUGACGCGUCUUAUUUCGAAACGGGUUCGGAUGGAAGGAUUCCUCGUAUCGGAUUACAAUAAACUCUAUCCGAAAUUUCUGGAAAUGAUCAUUCCUCACAUCAAGGGGGGAAAGAUUGUAUACAUUGAAGACACGGCUGAAGGUCUUGAGAGUGCUCGGGCAGCUCUCGUCGGUCUGUUCUCUGGCCGGAAUCUCGGGAAACAGGUGGUUGCAGUUGCUUCUGAAUGAAUGAAGGAUUUGGUUGUUUACAUCAUGCUUCUACUCGUCCAUUUAUUUAAUAAAAUGGUUACGCUCAAUGAGUGUAAUUUUUAUGAUGCUAAAUUAAAUGUGGAAUGUGGCUGCUGGUUUGAUAAUGUUAAAAGUGCUAAAAAAUUUCAUGUUAGGCGCGGUGUGCGUCUGUAUAUCAUUUUUAGGUACGGGCAUUCUAUCUUUUUUUUUAAUUAAUACAGACACAUUCUUAAACUGUAUGGUUUAAGAGAGAGUUAAAAAAAACUUUUACCACAUGGUUUAAAAGCGUAUCCGUAUGGGAAAAAAAUGAAAGUCCAUUGGAGAAGAAUUUUAUAUAUAGUCCAGGAUAUUAAAGUACGGAAAAACUAUAGAGUUUUAAAAACUUAAAAUUUAAAACGUUUAAACUGCACGAUUUAUGUGUUUUUCGAUGUGAUCCCACAUUUUAAAAUUGUGGAUUGGAACAUUUGUCUUUGAGGGAAAAAAAACAAUAACAACAACUUCUUUUGGAGACCGUGGGGCUCAUAUGCAGAUUCAACCCCGAGCUAUACACUGGAUCUGGUGGGCUAGGUUUGAACCCAAAACAAGCUCUAUUCAUUACACGGUUCAGCGGGUUGGUCCAUUUGACGCUUCUAACUUAACAAUUUAAUCAUAAUAAAUUGAAAAAAUAAAAUAAAACCCACGUAUCUAAAUUAUUGUAUUGAGCUAUUGGUGCAGAGAAUAAGUAUAUAUGAGAACAAAAACAACACGAUGUAGUCGCUCGUUUUGUCACUUCUAAAAUCAGGACUUAGAGCAUCACCAAAAGGCUCUUCAAAUAAGAUUUUAUUACUCAUUUGAAGAGCCACAUCAAUAUUUAAAGCUCCAAAAGACACUCUAAUUAAGAUUCUUCAAAUAAGAAUUGAUUCUCUCUCUUCAAAUUUGGAGAGUUAAUUUCUCCCUCUUCAAUUUAUAUUUUAUUACUUUUCAUUAAAGAAAGAGAGAGAAGUGCUUUAAUUGCUAUUGACUUUUCCUUUUAAAAACUAAUUAUAUGAUUAAAAUAAUAUUAACUUAUUUCUAUUUGAAGAGUCUUUUGGAGAAUAUCAUAUUUUUUCACCCUUCUAUUUGCCACAUAGGUAAGCAAAUAGAUAUUUGAAGAGUAAAAUUUAUAGAGGCUUUUGGAGAUGCUCUUAUGAUAGAGCCAUAGUGUUAACAGUACAUCGGUGUAUAAUUAUUUGUAAUGAAAUUAAUUAAUAUGGGUUUUAUGUUGUCUUUGUCAAUAAUCAAUUAAAUUUUUCGUUUUCAUUUAAAUGUUACUGAUCGAUGAAACAUUUGACUGCGUUCAAGUUAUCUUUUAAUUUUGUGAGAUCCACAUUGUUUUUAUUUCAAAAACAUAAUUUUUCAUAUUAUUAAAAAGCUGUUGCUUGGGCCUAGAGAAAUUGGAUUAAUGAAAUACCUUAAGGGUGUGUUUGACACAUUAUAUUGUAUUAUGUUGCAUUGCAUUAUUUUAUUUGGUGUUGCACUAUACUUUACUAAUUUUUUUGCAAUUAAUUUAAAUUACAUAGUUAGCAAAUAAUAUUUAUUAGUGCUUAGAAAAAUACUAAAUAUAGAAGUCUUAAAUUUUAGAAAUUUAACAAUUUUUUUACUAUAAAUGUUAAAAAAUAUAAUAAUUCUUCAUAAAGAUGGAAGCUUACAGCCUUAAGUUUUUGGAAGCAGAGCAUUUAUUUUUUAGUAUCUUCUAAAUAUAUAAUUUUUGAAAUAAAGAUAUAAGCACAUAAUUUAAUCACAUAGUCUUUAAAUAAUAUAACAACAUAAAUAAAUAGUUAAAAUGUGCAAGAUUAGUUCAAAACUCAUCUUAGGAUGAUAUAAUAAAAGUUUAUACACACCACAAGAUAAUCACAAAAUAAUAAAGUGAUAAAAUUAUUAUAACAUAUUCACUACCAAAAUAAAUUAUAUUAAAUAAUCCAAGUGAGAGUUCUGUAGUUUAUAUAAUAAUAUUAUUUAUGUUAUUAUUAUUAAUUUUAAAUUAAUAUUAUCCAAAUUUAUUCAUACUUAAAUAUGUAUUAUUAGUUAUAUUACAUUAUUUUUACAUAUUAAUUAUUGUAAUAUAAUUAAAUAAUGUAAAAUUAUAUUAUAUUUUUAUAUACUAUUUAAGUAUUUAUUAUUAAUUAUAUUCAAUUAUAAAUUUAUUAAUAAAUUAUAGUGCAAAAAAAAAUAGAAAUAAAAAUUAAUAUUGUAUAAUAAAUAACAUUCUGCUCCCAAUUUCUGGAUUUUAAAUUCCAAAAAUAGUAUUCACGUUCGCCACAUUCAAAAAUCCAACCUGGGCUUGGAGAUUCGAUUCAUCUCAUAGAUUAAUUUUAUAAACUAAUGUUUAGUGAAAAAUUAACCUUAAUGGGUCCUCCUCUCCAGGCCUAAUUCUUAAUUUUUUUUUAAAUUUGGUCCUACUUAAGUGGCUUCUAACGUUACCGUGUCUUUAUUUUGUGUACAGUUGUUUUACUAAUUUGUCAUUUAGUGCAAAUAACAGCACUCAACUUGUAAUAUCCAGUAUCCACAAAUCAGCCACUUCGGCCAAGGCCGAAGUGGUGGGCUGCUGCCCUCACAAUGCUUGUGAGGGCAGCGGUUCUAGCCCCCACAAAAGCAUUGUGGGGGCUAAAUGUUCUUUAUAUUUCCAAAAAAAUCCUUCUCCCUUGCGAAAUGCAAGUGGAGUAUGGACAUCCCUCUCCUGUGAGGGGUUAUUUGUCUGGGCAUGUACUUCAUAGAAUUCAUUGUAAUAAUGUAAGUCUCAAUCAUGUAUAUCUGAUAGAAUUCAUUGUAAUAAUGUAAGUCCCAAUCAUGUAUAUCUGAUUGUAAAUAUCAGUGUAAUAUCUCUGCUACAAUAAGCAGUUGUUGUAAAUAUCUUUCAUUGUAAUAAUGUAAGUCCCAAUCAUGUAUAUCUGAUUGUAAAUAUCAGUGUAAUAUCUCUGCUACAAUAAGCAGUUGUUGUAAAUAUCUUUCAUUGUAAUAAUGUAAGUCCCAAUCAUGUAUAUCUGAUUGUAAAUAUCAGUGUAAUAUCUCUGCUACAAUAAGCAGUUGUUGUAAAUAUCUGUGUAAUGCAGUAAUCUGAUGAUUAAUCAGUAUUAAAAAAAAAAAGUAUCCACAAAUCAUGAACUCAUUUUUUAGUUCUUUCAUGUGUACUAACAUUCGUACAAAUAUACAAUAAGUUCAUAAUUUAGUCCAAGUUGACGAGAAAUUCUUGACCCACCCCUAAAUAUCUGUCCGCCAAUAGCGUGAAGUGGCCGGCAUAAAUUUAAAGCAGCUGGGACAUUGUAACUCAUCCAAAGAUUGUAUAACAUCUCUUUUUUGCUUUAUCGUUUUUCUCCAUUUGCAUAGUUUCUUAUCCUACCGCUUUAAAAACAAUUAUUCCUAGAAAUUUUCAUUUAUCUAAUGAAUUUUAAGAAAUUUUUCAGCAAACAAUUUUUACUUUUUUUUUUUUAUCAUUGAUGGGUAAAGAAAAUAUUAAUGAAAAAUGAGGAGUUAUUGGCUGGUUCAACGGAUUAAUUGCAAUGAUAAAUACAGGGAGGAUUGGAUUAUAUGGCAAAUUUUUAUAGUAAAUGUAAUAUAUAUGCUAACGCUUUUUAUUUAUGGAAAAAUAUCUUCCUCUUUUGAGACUUUUCCCACUAAGAAAAUUGGAGGAUACGACCAAAAAAAAAAAAAUAUAUAUAUAUAUAUACUAAUAUUUAUCAUUUAUAGAAAAGUAUCUAUCCCACUUAAGAUUUGCCCCACUAGAAAAGGAAAAACAAAUCCCUCAAAAUAAAAGAGCGAAAUGGAAACAGAACAAAAUUUGAUUUUGUGGAUCUUGUAUUGUGUGAUAAGUCCGGCAUGCAAUUUUGGGCCAGCGUACCGUGCGCAUGGGAGCAUUCACAAAGUAUCUCUCGUCACUAUCGAAAACUUUUAACAGUCAAUACAAAUGCUUCCGUUUCAUCCCAUAAACAAAUAAAAUUCACAUCUGUACACAUCUACUUUUCUUUGCUAGAUAGAGUUCCUCUGCAUUUCCCAAUUGCCUAAAGAGAAGGGGAAAAGAAAAAGAGGGCCAAAAAAUGCCUGAAAUGGUAAGGAACAAGCAAGUGAUAUUGAAGGACUAUGUGUCUGGUUUCCCAAAAGAAACAGACAUGUACAUGACCGAAAGUUCCAUAGAAUUGAAGGUACCAAAAGGUUCGAAUGGGGUUCUUUUAAAGAACUUGUACUUGUCCUGUGAUCCGUACAUGCGACCAAGAAUGACCUACAUCGGAGGAUCUUACGUUGAAUCCUUUAAACCUGGCUUGGUUAGUGCACUCGCUCAUGGCCACGCUUUUCAUUUCCAUGGCUUCUUGCUCUUUUGUUAUAGAAAAUUUAUUUUUGGUUGCAGUUUGGUUCGACUGCUAAAAUCUCGUGCGAUAACUGUAUAAGAUAUCUAGAGUUUGAACUUCUUUCACAUUAGGGUUCAAGGAAGUUAACUUAAAUGAUUUUCAAAAUUUUAAAUGUGUACCAAUGAGUUUAAUUUCAUAGCUUAAACUUAUAUUUUGAUCAUACUCUAACUUUGGACAGGAAAAUUAUAUUUUUCCUUUUGUUCUUUGACUUGGUGUAUGUUGUGUGAAGUACUUGUGCUUGAAAAUUAAUUGCUGACACAGAAAUUUCUAUGAAUGCAUGCAGCCCAUAAGUGGAUAUGGGGUGGGUAAAGUUUUGGAUUCAGAGAAUCCAGAGUUCAACAAAGGUGACUUGGUUUGGGGAAUGACUGGAUGGGAAGAGUAUAGUCUCAUUACGGCUCCACACUUGUUUAAAAUUCAACACACAGAUGUGCCUCUUUCUUACUAUACUGGAAUCCUCGGUAAACUUUUUGUUUGCGCAAUUUAUGUGAGCAAAUUGUGUCUUGUUUUUCAUUAGUAAAUGUUUUUGAUAUCUCGAUGUGAAGGUAGAAAAUUGCAUGUUUUGAGUUUUUGCAUAUUUGAUGGAAACACAGAACUAUACCUGAAUCUUUCAGACCCCCCUUUUCUUUGAAGUUUGAACACUUUUCUUGAAUGUAUCAACUUUAUUUAUGGGGUAUGUUGCCAAAUUGGCAAAUCUAUUCGUUAUAAAACUUUCCUUUGACAGUUAAUCUAAGCAGAUGUUAAUUCUGCAAAUAGAGUGUGCCUUAGUUUAGAUUGAUAGAUUUGUCUCCUUCUGUACAGUAAAAACUUUGAGCAUUUUCGCCAUAUUCUGAUCAAUACACUCCAACUAGUUAGUUCUUGAGGCGUUUUCUGGUUUCGUGGAGUGAGCCAAGAUGUAUACGUUUGCAAAUUGGCAAUGUCUUUUGCUUGAUGGGUUGUGAGUUGAGAGUGUCAAUAGGAAAGUCUCAAAGUGCACAGUGCUCACUUGAGCACCCAUAUUACUUGGUGACCUGUUACCUCAGCAAACAAGACCUCUGUUUUAUGAACUCCAAAAAGUUAUUCUGUUAAAAAGAUCGAGACAGAGGCCAUACUAUAUUUAUUAUUGCCAUAAAAGUGUGAAACAAUAUUCUUUAUUUAAUAUUCUAAACGAUUGAGCCAUUUAGUUAUGAUACUUUGCUGUACUGGGGCUAAUAAUCUAAGUCGGUUCAAAGUGGUAAAUUUAUAAAUUGAUAGGUAUGCCUGGUAUGACCGCUUACGUUGGUUUUUAUGAGGUCUGCUCUCCUAAGCAUGGAGAGUGUGUCUUCAUAUCAGCAGCAUCUGGUGCAGUUGGUCAGCUUGUGGGGCAGUUUGCAAAGUUAUUGGGCUGCUAUGUCGUCGGAAGUGCUGGAAGCAAAGACAAGGUAGGUUAUCUGUGUGAAGUACUUGAUUGUUUCCAUGUUACUUUCAAACAUUUAAAUUAAAAAGGAAAUUUUCAUAAUCUUGCCUUUUCUAUGAUUUUCAAAACCAAGGUUGAUCUACUGAAGAACAAGUUUGGGUUCGACGAGGCAUUUAACUAUAAAGAAGAAGCUGAUUUGAAUGCAGCAUUGAAAAGGUUAGCAUCAAUAAAUGCCUUAGCUUGAUGCAGCUUGAUGAAGUAUGAUACAUAUUUCUGACCAAUAUACUGCGUUCCCUGAUCUCUUACUUGAAAUAUCUUGGUUUGAGAAUCUCAUGCUAAUGCCUUUAACAUUUUGGCAGGUACUUUCCUGAAGGAAUUGAUAUAUAUUUUGAAAACGUUGGUGGAAAAACUCUUGACGCAGUGCUACCCAACAUGAAAAUCCGUGGUCGAAUUGCUGCAUGCGGUAUGAUCUCACAGUACAAUCUUGACAAGCCUGAAGGUGUGCACAACUUGAUGUAUCUUGUUUCGAAGCGGCUUCGAAUGGAAGGAUUCAUUGUUCUCGAUCACUAUCACCUCUAUCCAAAGUUUCUGGAAAUGAUCAUUCCUCACAUCAAAGAAGGGAAGCUUGUAUACGUUGAAGACAUGGCUGAGGGUCUGGAGAGUGCUCCGGCAGCUCUCAUCGGUCUAUUCUCUGGCCAGAAUGUUGGGAAACAGGUGGUUGCUGUUGCUCCUGAAUGAAGAACAAGUUAGUGUUGUAUGUUCGUUUACCCUUUGACACAAAACUUCAAUGUUAAAGAGAGAAUGCUGCUCAUACUGCUUUAUAAAAUAAUCAAAUGAGUGCAAGUUUCAUGAUAUGUGCUGAAUAAAAAUAUUGGAAAUUAAGCAGCUAGCCUAGCUCCUUGUAGUUGCAGUUUGAAUGAUGCUGCUGCACAACCGCUGCCGAAAAAAUCCUUAAUAGAUGAUUAGCGAGGUUUCAAAAAUAAAAAUAAAUGUUUGUGCAAUGUGCCGAAUAUGACAGCCACAAAGAAAGAGCAUACAAAUUGAUUGGUUUUAUGUCUUCUCUAGGAGAAGGCUACAAUACAAGAAAUUGUAUUGAUGGAGCCAUGGACCAAAUUUCUUAUUUAAACUUUUAAUUUUUUUUAUUAAAUUACUUAUGUUAUUAUGGUUUAUAUUUUUAGAAAUUCUUUAGAAAUUAAUACAGAACUAGUAGCAAGUUGAGAAAUCUACUGAAUGGUCAAGAUAUGAUCAUGUUUAUUGAAUUAAAUUGGCAAUCAUCAUUUUGAUAAAUUAUUAUCGGGAUAUUUGAUUCAUCACAGGUGUAAGUAACUAAAUGUGCUAAAGAAAAAAGUUAAUGAGUUGGACGUGUUUAAUAUUCAUUUGUUGUAAUUCUUUUAAUAAUUAUUAUGGAAAAAAAAGUUAUGGUAAAAAAAUUAUAAUUAUAAAAUAAAAAUUAAUAAUAUAUAAUAAAUAAAUUUUUUAAAUAAUAAAUAUAUUAUGAGUUUUUCAUCGUUAAUUUUUAAGUCAAAAUAAUAAAUAUUUACUAAAUAUUUUAAUACCACAACUAAUACCACAACUUUUGAAUUAUAACAGUACAAUGUAAAUGACAGAGGCCUUAAAAAAUAAAAUUACAGUCAAGUUUUAAAACUGUUAAUGAUAUUCAUAAAGGUGCUCGUCGUGUAAAAACACAUGGGACCCAACCAAUAAAUGCUUAUGAACCUCAACUUUCCUCCUCACUGUCCCUGCAAACAAUUCUGAUUUUCUUGUCUGAGCAAAAAACUGAGAAACAAUGGCGGCCGAACAAGAAGCUGUGAGGAAUAAGCGGGUGAUUCUAAGCAACUAUGUGACAGGUUUUCCAAAAGAAUCAGACAUGAAGAUAACAUGUGGAUCAAUAAAACUGAAGGUAGCAGACGGUUUAAAAGAUACGGUGCUUUUGAAGAAUCUUUAUAUUUCUUGUGAUCCUUACAUGCGAGAGCGUAUGAGCAAGCUUGAUAGACCUUCUUUUGUUGAUUCAUUCCAUCCUGGUGAGGUUAGUUCAUCACGACCCAUCUCUUGAUUUUUUUUUUUUUUUUUCAUUUGCUUCAAGUUUUGAUGAGUUUCUGAGGUCAUUUGUACGGUUUUGGAAUGUGAAUACAAUUGGUGAUUUUGGUGCUGUAACUGUCAUUAAUGAUAUGUAGUAAUUCAAUCAGAAUUUGGAUUUAGUGCUGGUAUGAUCUCUGCUCAUUUUUUAAAAUCUUGUGUCCACAUGCAUUUUUAUAAUCUUGUACGGUUGAGAUUGUAUGUAGAUUAAUCUACGUACAGUAUUCUUGUCUAAUGACUAGUAACCACAACCUUAUGAGACGAUCGAAACCAAGCUCAGAUCAAUAAUCCAAUCGAGAGAGGAUCAUAACUCAAGCUUAUCGUGUGUGGGAAUAUUUCGGUUAAAUUGUAAUCAUGAUCAUGAAUCAUGCAGGGAAAAGGGAAGUUGAGGUCAAUUUAUGCACUUGAUGGAAUUAAAGAACCAAUAUUUGAUUUUGGUUUACAUUAUUUCUCAGUAAUGGUGACUUUGUGAUGUUAAAUUUAUGCAGCCUAUAAACGGAUAUGGGGUGGCCAAAGUUUUGGAUUCUACACAUCCAAAUUAUGCAAAAGAUGACUUGGUUUGUGGCUUUAUGGGGUGGGAGGAGUACAGUGUCGUUACAGCUCCGCAGCUUUUGAUUAAAAUUCAGCAUACAGAUGUGCCACUUUCAUACUAUACUGGGAUCCUUGGUAAUGAUUUUUGCUACACAAUAAGAUUUGCUUGUAGUAAUAUCAAUACAUAUGCUGCUUAAUGCUUUCUGAUUUUUUGCCGGCGAUUGUCCAUUUUGCCCUGGAGUCUAUAAUUGAGGGAAUUUACUGAAGGAAUGUGAUUGUUGGGAAUUUGAUUAUUCUAGGUAUGCCUGGUGUGACGGCAUACGCUGGUUUAUACGAAGUUUGCUCUCCGAAGAAAGGAGAAUAUGUAUAUGCAUCUGCAGCAUCUGGAGCUGUUGGUCAGCCUGUUGGCCAGUUUGCAAAACUAGCUGGUUGCUAUGUUGUUGGAAGUGCUGGAAGCAAAGAAAAGGUGCUGUUAUAACAUUUUCAAGUUGUAAAUAAUUUAAUUUCAAAAUUGUCUGAGUUGUACAUGCUUUUUGUUCUAACCAAGCAUCAAAAUUUUGAUCGUGAUAAUUAGCAAGUUCAAUAAUUUUUUUGAAUAUCUUUUCAAUGUAAGGUCGAUUUGUUGAAGAACAAGUUUGGAUUCAAUGAUGCUUUUAACUACAAGGAAGAGCCAGACUUGGAUGCUGCUCUCAAAAGGUCAGCUGCGACAAAUGCUUCAACUAUAAUUUUUCACUUUAAUAUAUAUUACAGAGCUUUGGUAAUUUGGUUGAAGUGCGUGAGUCGAUCCCGAAAUUGUAACUUCACCAGUGUUCUCUGUUUUAAAGAAACAGGAAGUAUUAGAAAUCUGAUUUUUCUUUUAUGGAUAAGCUGAGAAUAAGUGACUGAAUCCAUUGUCUGGUUAAAAAUGUUUACAUGUGUUAAUAUGAACUAUCCUUGUUUAGUAAUUGGAUAGUUUGAUAACUUUGUGGAGCAUUUGUGUACGAAGUGUCAAAUAAUUUUGAUUGAAAUAAGAACUUAGUGGAUGCAUUCAAUGAUUUUUUUUCCUUUUUUUCUCUCUCCCCAAGAUAUUGAGAGAAUGAUUGUAACAUUUGAGGGAUAAGAUCAAAGUGUCUUUGAGGACACCUCAUUGAUUGAUGAAGAACAAAUUACAGCCGUUAGAUUAUAGUAAAAUUAAAGACAUGAAUAGUAUACAUUUUUUGUGUGAAAAAGUAAGAAGAGACAUUCCUUUGUAGUUUGUACAAAAUUGACUUAAUGCUGAAUGCAAAGUUAACUUAAUAAUUUGUCUUUAAACUAUUAUUAUUAUUGUUUAAUCAACAUUGACUUUGUGGCACCAUCCACCAUCUGCAAUUGAAUAUCAUUAUUGUUUAAUCAACAUGGUGGAGUCCACUGGAACCACACCACAUGGUCAGUCUUAUCUCUAUUCCUCAAUUUUCAAUAUUCCAUACAUCCAACCAAUUUCAGGUUUGUUAGCAAUUAUAAGUUCAUUGUUGGUGACGAUUCUGAUUCCUUUCUUUCUCAUAAAACGGAACCAUGGUUGCUUUUGGAGAGAUCUUACUCAACGCCUUCUUUCAGGUGUUGUUUGAUAGGUUGGCUUCUGGUAAUUUUCUCAGCUUUGUGCGUCAACUCCAAGGCGGGGUUGAUUGGGAACUCAAAAAGUGGGAGAAAAAGCUGAAGAUGAUUCAGGCUGUGCUCUGCGAUGCAGAGGAGAAGCAACUGAUCGACGAGGCUGUGCAGAUGUGGCUGGACGAACUCCAAGACUUGGUUUAUGACGCUGAGGACAUUCUUGAUGAGUUUGCUACUCAAGCUUUGGAAAGCGAGUUGAUGGCGCAAAAUCAGGAUAGCUCUGGCCAGCUUCUCAGUUUCAUCCCAGCUAGUUUGAAUCCGAAUGCUAUUAUGUUCAAUUAUAGCAUGGGGUCCAAGAUUAAAGAUAUUACUAGCCGGUUGGAGCACCUUGGCCAAGAAAGAAUUGAACUUGGUCUGCAACGGAUUACUGGAGGGGCAUCAUCAUCUACUGCUGCUGCACACCAGAGGCCACCCAGUUCAAGUGUCCCAACAGAGCGUGAAGUAUUUGGAAGAGAAGAAGAUAAGGCCAAAAUUCUUGAUAUGGUAGUGACCGAUACCCCCAGUGAUCAUGCCAACUUUGUUGUAAUACCCAUUGUUGGCAUGGGCGGGAUAGGAAAAACAACUCUUGCUCGGGAGGUCUACAAUGACAAGGCCGUUGAAGAUUCCAAGUUUGAUGUAAAAGCAUGGGUUUGUGUCUCUGAUGUCUUUGAUGUUUUGGGCAUCUCAAAGGCACUUCUUGAGUCAAUCACCCGCAGGCCUUGUCUUCUGAACAGUUUAAAUGAAGUGCAGGUUGAGUUGAAAGUAGCUGUGGAUAAAAAAAGAUUCUUGCUGGUCUUAGAUGAUGUUUGGAACGAGGACUACAGCUUGUGGGUAGACUUAAAAGCUCCAUUCUUGGCAGCUGCACCAAACAGUAAGAUGAUUGUCACCACACGCAAUUCAAAUGUUGCAUCAAUAAUGGGACCAAUUGAACAUUAUAAUCUCAAGAGACUGUUAGAUGAUGAUUGCUGGUCCAUUUUCAUACAGCAUGCACUUGAAUCUAGAGAUCUUAACGCACAUCAAAUUUCAGAAUCAUUCCGCAAGAAAGUUGUUGGCAAGUGUGGAGGCUUGCCCCUGGCAGCAAAAACACUAGGGGGCCUUCUGCGUACUACGAGGCAUGAUGCAUGGGACGAUAUAUUAGAUAGCAAAAUAUGGGAUUUACCUCAACAAAGUCGCGUUCUCCCUGUGUUAAGAUUGAGUUACCACCAUCUUCCGUCUCAUUUGAAAAGAUGUUUCGCUUAUUGUGCAAUCUUUCCAAAAGAUUAUGAAUUCAAUGAGAAGGAGCUGACUUUCUUAUGGAUGGCUGGAGGAAUUAUUCGACAGUCAAGAAAGAAUGAGCAGCUGAAAGAUUUGGGCGGCAAGUGCUUUCAUGAUCUAGUGUCAAGGUCAAUUUUUCAACAAACCAGCUCGGGCAGUUCUAAAUUUGUAAUGCACGACCUUAUCCAUGAUCUUGCUGAACUGGUUUCUAGAGAAACCAUUUUCAGAUUAGAGGAGGCCAACUUGUCAUCAAGAAGAUUUGAAAGGAUCCGCCAUUUUUCCUAUACCCGUGGUCGGUAUGAUGGUAAAAAUAAGUUCAAGGUUUUCAAUGAAAUUGAACAUCUACGAACAUUCCUACCAUUACACGAAAGACGUGGCUAUUACAUAACUCGAACGGUUCUAUCUGAUUUGCUGCCAAAGUUCAGAAGGUUGAGAAUGCUAUCUUUACAAGGAUACUGUAUUGGUGAGUUACCAAUGUCAUUGAAGAUCUGAGACUUUUAAGGCUCCUCAACCUUGCUGACACUGACAUAAGAAGUUUACCUGAGUCAACAUGCACAUUGUUGAACUUGGAAAUUUUGAUAUUAAGAAAUUGUUCCCGUUUGAUAAAGCUUUCGUCCAAAAUGAGGAAUUUGAUCAAUUUACGCCAUCUUGAUAUAAGAGGUGCGAAGUUGCUGAAGGAGAUGCCAUCCGGAAUGAAGGAGUUGAAGAAUCUUCAAACGUUGUCCAAUUUUAUUGUGGGCAAGGGUGAAACUGCAUCCGGUUUGGAAGAUUUAAAAUGUUUAAACUUUCUUUGUGAUGAACUAUGCAUGAGUGGAUUAGAGAAUGUGAAUAAUCCACAGAAUGCAAGAGAAGCUGCAUUAUGUGAGAAGCACAAUCUUGAAGCAUUGACUCUAGAUUGGGGGUCUCAAUUUGACAGUUCUCGAGAUGGAGUAGUAGAAGAGCAUGUACUGCAAAUUCUACAGCCUCAUAAAUGUAUAAAAAAGGUGGCAAUCAAGAACUAUGAUGGUGUAAGAUUUCCACUUUGGAUCGGAGAUCCUUCGUUCUCCAAGAUGAAGGUCCUUAAAUUGGAGAACUGUCACAAUUGUGUAUCUUUGCCGUCGCUUGGCCUGUUGAGUUCACUUAAGCACCUUGCUGUUAAAGGGCUGAAGAAACUAAAAAGCAUAGGGUCUGAGGUUUAUGGGGAGGGUUUCUCAAUGCCUUUUCCAUCACUGGAGAUUCUAAGUUUCGAGAAUUUCCCAGAAUGGGAGCAUUGGGACACCGAGAUCAAAGGAAAUGUGCCUGUUGAUAUAUUUCCUCGUCUCCAAGAACUUUCCAUUGCAGAAUGUCCCAAACUCUCUGGACAACUGCCUGAGCUCCUGCCUUCCUUGGAGACACUUGUUGUUAGUAAAUGUGAAAAGUUGGUAGUUCCAUUGUCUUGCUAUCCGAUGCUCUGCAGAUUAGAAGUUGAUGAGUGCAAAGAACUAGUCUGCCGGACUCCGAUUGAUGUUAAGUUGAUAAAGUCCAUGACUAUUUCAAAUAGUUCAUUAGACCUGAAUGGAUGCAAGGGGAUGCUAUACGAUGGUCCAGCUGGCUCUUCACUGCCAAAGCCCAUGACUACUACAAAUGUUUUGGAGUUUGGAAAAUUAUUGAAGCCUGGAUUUCAGAUAUUCGAAACUUUGGUAAUUGGCAAUUCUGAACAGCUCAAGUCAUGGAGGCAGCAUGGGGAUUUUCCUAAAAAAUACAUGGUCACUGACCAUAGGUUUAAAAAACCAGUACCAGGGCUGAAUAUACUCGCUUCCCCUGAAGAGGUAAAAAUUGAAGAAAGCUGCGUAAGUCUUGUUAUGUUUCCAGAGAUCAAUUUUUUUCCCAGAAAUCUGCGCUCUCUUCUAAUUAAAAACAGCACAACUUUAAAAUCCUUACCCGAGGAAGUGAUGGACAACAAUUCACAACUCGAAAGGUUGUAUAUCAGAGAUCGCGACUGUCUAACAUUCAUCGCAAGACGGAGGCUACCGGCAUCUCUUAAAAGGCUCGAGAUAGAAAAUUGUGAGAAAUUGCAACAUCUGUUCGAUGAUGAAGAGGAUGCUUCUUCUUCUUCUUCUCCUGCAUCCUCGUCGUCCCCAGUGAUGCUGCAACACCUGAGUAUAGAGAACUGCCCAGAGCUCACCAGUUUAUCAUCGGGUGUCCAAUUCCUUGAGGCGCUUGAAGACCUCGAGAUACGGGAUUGUCGAAAGCUGGAGUCAUUACCGGAUGGCCUGCACAAUCUUAACUGUUUACAGAAGAUUAGUCUAGUGAGUUGUCCAAGUCUUGUUUCCUUCCCAGAAAGAGGGCUUCCCCACACCAUUUCACAGGUUGACAUUUUUUAUUGUGAAAAGCUUGAAGCCCUGCCCAAUGACAUGCACAAACUCAACUCUCUUCGAGAUUUAAGCAUAUUGGGGUGUCGAAAUCUUGUAUCGUUUCCAGAAGAAGGUUUUCCUACCAGUCUAACAUCACUUAGAAUUGGAGAUUUCAAAAUGUAUAAGAUACUCGUCCAGUGGGGGUUGCACAGGUUUACCUCUCUUAGACGCCUCUAUAUCGUUGAUUGUGAUGGCGAAGCAGAGUAUUUUCCAGACGAGGAGAUAGGAAUGACGCUGCCCACCUCUCUCACUCAACUGGAACUUUCGGGAUUCAAAAAAUUGAUAUCUCUGUCUUCGACGGGUUUUCAGAGCCUCACCUCUCUUCAAUCUUUGUGGAUCUUCUAUUGCCCAAAUCUCACAUCAUUUCCAGAGGUGGGCCUUCCAUCCUCACUUUUGGGACUAUACAUUUUCAAAUGUCCAAAGCUUAAAAGAGCGUGCAAAAGAUAUCAAGGAAAAGAGUGGCCCAAAAUUGCUCACAUCCCUUGCGUUGAGAUAGACGAAAAAUUCAUAUACGAUCCGGAAUCAGAGGAGUAGAUUUCUGUUAUCCACUAUAACGAUCUCCUAUUAGUUUUAUUUUUUAAAUAAUAAUUUUUCAGUUCUGUUUUCUGUAUAAUUAUAAAUCCUCUGUCGUUAAUUAUUGACAAUGUCACUCACGUGAUUCCGUUUUCACUAAUGAGACUGUAUGUUGAGGCUGUUUGCUUUUUAAUCACAGAUUAAAUUAUAUGGUGUAAGGAAAUCAAAAGAAAAUUAUGCAUAGUCAAAUUCUGAUAUUUGCUAUAUAUUAUACAUUCGAAAGUUUCUCCAGUUUGUUCUCAGAUUACCAUCAUUUUUUGCCUUCACCUAAAAAUAUAUAUAUAUAUAUUUGAGUGGCUUUCCGGUGGAUAUUUAAUCGGAGGCAUGACUGGAUUUUUUUUCACUUCUGUAGAUCUUGCAUUUUAAACUGGCAAAUUUAACUUUAAUUUUAAUACGACUUUGUUGGUGCCUUCUAUUCCAGGAGCUAGAAAGAUGUGUAGUUUUCAGAUAAAGGGGCUUGUGAAUUCUCUAGUAAGAAUCCAAUAAUUUGCUUUUGCACGUUCAUUUUAUUUGUAGAUCCUUGCAUCUGAAUUUGAUCAAUCCAAAAGGAAUUGCUUUUGGACGGAAAAGAAUAGCAGUACCUAUUCGAUGACAUAGUGUAUGGACCCUCACAUGUUAACUUUCAUGAAGAACACAUUUAAGAAAUUUGCAACUUUUUGGUUAGUUAUGUAUCCAAUGUUGUUUUCUGUUUUAGCAUUUGUAGAAUCUACUGUAUUAUAUUUUGGCAGUUACAGUAUCUGAGGUAUCUUUUGCAUUUAACUUGCUUUAUAUGUUUUGCCUGUGACUUAAGAACACCAAUAUUUGCCAGAGAUUUAGAGAAGCAUAUCAAGAUGCUUGGCUAACUUGACAAACUUCAGGAUCCUUCAUUCUUCACAAUGCAAAACUUGUGAGUACUCUUAUGCCUGCAAUUAUUGUGAAAUGCUUGCAAUUUUGAUGCAGCGAAAUGGUUUGUUGAUGCAAAGGUUUAAACUUCUAAGAUUUACCCUGCAGGGUAGUUGGAUGUUGUAUACUCGAAAAGCCACCAACAUCAAGAACUAUACCUCCAAGAUCGGGUUUGCAUUAAUUCAAUCAGCUGAAAUAAUGAUGCAAAUGACACUAUCAGCUGGACUUAGAGACCAGUCAGAUCAAUCAUCCAUUUUAUCAACAGUUAAUGUCAUCAUGGUGGCUAUUAGAGGAAACAAAGGAUGUGUCGGAAUCAAUAUGAACAGUGAGAAGAAUGAGAGGAGCUUUGAUUAUAAGUAGGCUCAAUGAACUCAUGCUGGUAAGUGGUAAUUAAAGAAAUUUGUGCGCUUAGCAGAGUUUCAAUAUUUUCUGUUUGGGAUAUAGUUGAUAAGUUGAUACUCUGAUUAAUAAGCCUGAUUAUAGUAGCUGACUCUAUUAACCAGGUUCUUUUCUUUCUUCUUUUUUGGUGGUUUGCUGUUGUUUUGAUUAUGCUGUAACUACAAGGAAGAGCCGGACUUGGAUGCAGGCGUUCAGCUUUUAAUGGUUAAGAACAAAUGUAUGCUUUAACCAUGUCUCUCACUUAUUACAAUGCACGCAUUGAAGGCAUCUGAGCUGAUCCUGAAAAUGUCAUGGAAAUACUUCUCUGUUUACAUAAAACAGGACAAAUAGAGAUCUCUGAUCAUGCCUGAGAAUUCGUUUCAUUGAAAUUUCUACCAUUGCCAAAAAUAGAAUAAACUAGGGAUACAUUAGCGUAAGACUCAAUUUUGAGAAGGAAGUUUGUACUUGCGGCCUAAAAAAUCAUGUCUGUGUUGUAUACUUGUAUGUUUCUUUGGUAAAUGAAAGAUUCUGUGUUCUUUUAUUUCAAGUUUGCUGAAAUCACAUUUGUUUUCUUAGAUGCUUUCCAGAAGGUAACAACAUCAAUUUCAAAAAUGCUGGGGUAAGAUGCAUCACGCAGUGCUACUCAACAUGAGAAAUCCUGGCUGCAUUAACUGUAUGUUGAGUGAUCGCACAGUACAACCUUCAGAAGCUUGUAAGGAGUAGACAACUAGAUGCGAGUAGUUUCAAUAUGGAUUCGCAUCAAAUGAUUUCUUGCCACUGAUUACUAUAACCUCUAUCCCAAAAUUCUUGGAACUGGUCAUACCAGCUAUGAAGUAUUGUAUGCGUUGAAGAGCUCAAGGCCUUGCAAAAGCUCCGUCAGCCUUUGUAUUGGCAAACAGAUGGUUGUAGUUGCAUCUGAAUGAUAUGAUUAAUAGAUUCUGUAAAAAUGAAUUGUGCCAUACGCUUUCAGAGUUCUGUUAAGAUGUCUUGGUAGUUUUUUAUGCUUGUUUGAUUUAUAUUGCAUUCAGCUAUAAAUCAAAGGUUCAGAACACGAGUAUGUUACUGAUUUCCAAAUAGAAAAAUUGCCUUGUGAUGUUAGUGUCCAUUGUUUUCACAGGAGAUCAGGUUCCUUGUUAAUGAAUCAAGAAGGCAAACGCAUCCAUGUCUGAGUUCAAAUGUGUCUCUUCUAUUUUCUAUUACUGACUCAUUUAUUUUGAUUUCUUCAUUGUGAUUGAACUGGUUUUUUAUUCCAAAUUAGUCAAAACCUCAUAGAGUUAUUAAGUUCUGUUAGCAUUUAAAGACAGAACUACGUAACAAAUGAUUAGCAGGAUUAAAUUACAAUAAAGAAUUAAGUUCUUCAUUGUAAUUGAAUUUGCUUUCCCAUGUUUAUAGAUAUUAUGUUCUGGUUAGUGGUGAUUUCUUGAAGAGUCAAUCCAUUUGUGUUUAUACAUUUUUCUUUUGCCUUGAUUUCUGUUUUUUGGGGAGUUUAUACAGAUUCUUAUUUUAUGCUUCACAUGCCACAUGAAAGAUCAAAGCCUUUUGUCUGAAUAGAAUUGACUUGCAUUGUAGUAACUUUAAACUACUGUGACAUUUUCAUAAUAACAGUCUGAGAUCUCCCUGAAAGAUUCAAAGCAUUUUAUUUUAUAUUAAACUCCUCUACGUGGUUUGGCGGCUCUCCUUUAAAUCAAUUUCGGUUUUAAGUUAUCAACAUUUUGAUUUGAAAGUGUGUUUCAACACUACCACAAGUUCUUUAAAAACUAAAACAAUUUUGAGUCUCCUGUAUCAUCUGAUUGAAAUACAUGAAAGCACUCUUGGCUGUAAAAAUACAGUUGGGUUUAUUUCUAAAGUCUUCAACAACAUUUUCCUUUUUCCCUUUAUCCUCAUGGUUGUUUUUUCAGUUGUUCUUUAAGAGAACACUUAAAGAUUCUCUUUAUAGACUUCUGAAAAUAAUUUCAGCUUAAGCAUUUUUCAAAAGCACUUUAGAUGUCUGGCGUUUAGAAAAUUUUAUUCUGGUGUCACAUAAUAUACGUAGGAAGUUAAAUUUAUUUAUUUAUAAGCAUGUCCCAAUGCCCAGUGGCAUCCUCUUAACUUGUGAUAGUCAGAUGUAUUAUACGAUACAAUAUCAGCUUGACUGUAGCAUAGAGGAGAAUAGGGUUGGUGUUGGACUGAAUUCUGAUCCUUGAAUAAAUAUAACAGCUGCCUGAACCAGCUUAUUUGACUCCACAACUUUAUACUUGUUUUAUAGUCUAUGCCUACCUCCAUCGUCGGCAGCUUACACAGUCUCUUUUAGCAUUUUAAAAAGUUUCAUGAUAUUCCCAUGGACUGCUACAAUUUAUAGAAAACAUAAUUACGGCAUAUUUAAUUACCACGCGAGGAGUCUUCUUUUUUGCGCACCAAUAAUUCUUUGUACUUAAUUAGAAGAUGAGAAAUCCUUUAGCCGAACCACGAACUCACCUAUUAGUGGGUUUUUUUCCACUUGCAUUCAGUCGUUCAAGUGAAAAUUGCGUGCAAUUUUUUCCUCAAGUAAAAUUGGAAUAGAUAUUGUUGAUUCGAGAUUCUGGUUACGCCCUUCCAACGACCAGGAUGUCUGUUCGAUCAACCUCAUCUCGAUCAGGAUCUCUCCUCGUACGCUUUCUUCUCUAAGUAUCCCUGCGUCCACAGAAACAAGUCAGAGCACGCCGGUUGGUUUCCCGGCGUAAACCCUCCGACGCUCAAGUCAGAUAUGAAGGCUCUGGGAACGCUCGCCACAAAUCUUAUGGCUUUUUGGUCGUUUUCCCUUUUUUAGAAUUUCCUUUAUCUCUGUUCUAAUCUCAAAAUUGCUAACCCUUUUACCUUCGUUGGCUACCUUUUUAUAGGUCACUUUUGAACUCGGGCCUCCCCUCCAUUUGCGCUCAUUACCCUCCCACCUCUCAAAAGUGGAUUCCCCUUUUCCGUAGUCGUGGGUGGUUGCGUGGCCCUCGUGCCUAGAUUCUCGGACUGGAAAGCAUGCCUUGCCAACUGUCGUUGACCGGGUCUCCUCGACUCAGCCCUUAGCAGGAAUACAACAGGAAUGGCUUUAUGCUUCUUACAGGAGAUUGGCCUCGCGGAUGACGUGCUCGUGGGUGAGCAGGGUAUUCCUGCUCCUGCUCCUCCGGAUACCAGGCUCUUACGGGACACACCGGUUCGCAGAGCUCUGCCAUCAGAUAUCUGCUCAUCAUGCUUGGUCUCGUCGACGUAUUUCUCCCAAACACCGGUCCCCCAGUUUCUGGUGUUGGGUAAUGUAGUGGACCAGCAGUAGAAACUCGACAGUACUUACUCGCGUGGGAUUGGAAAAGGCUGCCAAGAGUCGUGUCGCAUUUAAUUGCGGAUGAGGUGAUGUGGCAGAGAUCCACCCCUAUAUUUGAAUUUCAAACCGACGGUUACGAGACCCUCGGGAUUUGGUGCUGUUAAAUGCUGGCUAUCCAAGGGUUUUUCUUCCAAUAAGGUAACCCAAAACCUCUCUAAGGGAAAUUAGCCAUUUCCACUGUCUCUGUCCCUGUCUCUCCGGCGAAGAAGUUUCGGCAUAAAAGCCCCCAUCCUUGCCUUUCUCCGACUGAAACAGUACUUCAGGUAUUACUUCUUUCUCCUCGGUCUCGGAUAGUUUGUAGAUAACUUCUUUUUUCUUUGUUUUGCUUGGGGUAGUAGUUGUUGGUGGUGUUUUGGUUAUUACCUAGGGAAUGUCGAAGGGUAAGGAGAAAGUCGUUGAGAUUGAUGACGACGAACUAGGUUUCUUGCUUGGUCUGCUCAUUGAUCCUGCUUUUGACCCCGGGGUCCCCUUAGAACCCAUUAGGUUUAGUGUCGGGACUAGUGCUAGGAGGAUGUCCCCCCAAACAACCUCCAUGAGCGGAAGCAAUGGUGAGGAGAGACCUUCUGGCUCUGAGGACACCUUAAGUGAGAAUGGGGAAGGUGACUCUGGUGAGGUGUCUCCAUCUGGAACAUCACGACCAGAAGAACGGGGUACAGUAGGAGGUAGAGCCUUGUUGCGUGAUUAUGCCAUUGAUUACAUGACGUGCACGACCAUGUUUGACGAGCUCAAUGACCUCCGGCUUAGGUAUAGCAUUCCUGGUGAGAUACCUCUCAAGGUCCCAGGAAAGAAGGAUGCUCCCAGCCGGCCUCCUCGGGGAUACGUUACCCUGUUUCUAGAGAGCUUUAAGUAUGGGCUGAGGUGUCCUUUGCAACCCUACUUUGCCCGGAUACUUAACGGACUAAAUUUACCUCCUGGUCAGCUGAAUCCCAAUGGGUGGAGAGUGCUCUCUGGUCUGUUCAUAUUGUGGGACAGAUGUUGCCAAAGCGAGCCCACGGUUGAUGAGGUGAAGCACCUGUACCAGCUAAAGAGCAGCCCCAAAUAUGCCGGCUGGUACUACUUCCAAUCUAGUACCAAGAGCAGGAAACCCAUAACGGAUCUUCCAACUGGUGGUGGUGGGACUUGGAAGAGGAAAUUCUUUUUUGCUGGGGGUCCUUGGGGUCAAGUUGCACGAAUAGAUGGGAAGGAUUGUCGUGUCCCACCCCGUUUCACGGUCCCAGGUUGCCUGCUCGCUUUAGAUGUCUUGUAUCCAUAACUGUUCUUGCUUUAUUGGCUUGUCUCUAACCAAGUGCCUGUUUGUGUUGUAGUUUCUUGGGGUGUUCAUUUCCCGCUCCAACCUAACCAGUUCAAACAGGUCGAGGCUGUACUAGCCAAUUCCUGCUCGAGCCGCGAACUGCUAACUACUUACAACUUGCUCGAGUCUCGCUUGAUACUUCCUGGCCAUAAGAUGGAGGACGCCGUGAUUGGGGCUCUGAACAGGAAACGUUCUCGACCUCAAACCACGAAGAGGGACCAGAACAAGGACGCCCCUUCUGCAAAGCGGGCCAACAUCGUGCAGCAAGUCUCUCCCUUAAAGACUUUACCUCCUGCUCCCGCCAAAAUUGGGGAAACUAGUGGAGCAGCCACGGAUCCUGCUUCCUCUUCUCCUCUUGUCGGGCCUCGAUCUCGCUUACCUGACAACCGAGCAGAACACUUGGUCCCCUACCUCAAUGAGUUAUCUAAACUCGUGAGCAAGAAGGACCUGGAGGACUUUGACGGCUGCACCUUGGGUGAACUGGUGGGGGCCAUGCAGUAUAGCGCUUUCCACCUCAGCUGCAUGACCACUUAUUACAAGGCUAAGGUUGGCCGCUACGACCGGAAGAUGAAGGAGGAUAUUCAAUCGGCGACGACCAGAGCUGACUUUGCCGAGAAGAAAGCAGGGGAGCUAAAUCUCGAGAAUCUGAAGCUGACAGAGCAAGAAUCACUUGCUUAAGCAAAAGCCGUUACCCUCGAGGAGGAGCUGACCAAGGUCAAGGAGGAUCUGCAAAGGCAGAAGGCUAUGUAUGAGGCUCAGCUCGAAUCUCUCCGCGACUCCUACCGAGCUCAGGUCGAGAACUUGGAGAGGGAGGCCGACAACCAGUACGACCAGGGACUUCGGCAUUCCUAUCGUUGCAUCAUGGCCGUCCUCGGGAAGCAACACCCUGAUCUGAAGAUGGAUGACCUUGCAGCUGGUGUUGCUCAACAUAUGGACGAGGAGGCGGCCAAGGAAGAUGCUAAAGGGGUAGAGCCGAUCGUGAUUGAGGAGGAAAACUCUCCUCCUCGUGCAGUCCCUGCUGAUGUUGGCGAGGCGAGCACCCCCCGGACGCAACUGGUGAUACCCCCCCUGCACCUGAGGAGGUCCAGCCAACCGAUGCUGCUCGGCUUACUGAUCCACCAUCUUCUUGAUAUAUUUCUUGUAUUGUAAUGAACAAUGUUUGUGAAGAUUAUCUCCUCUGUUAAUUAUUAACAAAUUAAUAAAAAUGUUUUUGAUUACUUUCUUGUGUUGUAAUUUUUCGUUUGAGAAUCUGCUCGUCUUUGUCUGGUCGACCAGGUUCUGGCUUGGUACAUGGUUUUGCCACAUGCCUUUGAAAAUUUUUCAAUGCUUGGGAUUCUGCUCGCCUUCUCGUGGUCGAGCAGAUCCUGGCACGCUUGGUUUCUGUCUCGCCAUAAACAGGCUUUGAGACUUGGUGAGCCUUUGCAUGCUUUGGAAAUUUUUCGAUGCUUGGGGAUUCUGCUCGCCUUCGCGUGGUCGAGCAGAUCCUGGCACGCUUGGCUUCUGUCUCGCCAUAAACAGACUUUGAGACUUGGUGAGCCUUUGCAUGCCUUAGAAAUUUUUCGAUGCUUGGGGAUUCUGCUCGCCUUCGCGUGGUCGAGUAGAUCCUGGCACGCUUGGCUUCUGUCUCGCCAUAAACAGGCUUUGAGACUUGGUGAGCCUUUGCAUGUCUUAGAAAUUUUUCGAUGCUUAGGGAUUCUGCUCGCUUUCGCGUGGUCGAGCAGAUCCUGGCACGCUUGGCUUCUGUCUCGCCAUAAACAGGCUUUGAGACUUGGUGAGCCUUUGCAUGCCUUCGAAAUUUUUCGAUGCUUAGGGAUUCUGCUCGCCUUCGCGUGGUCGAGCAGAUCCUGGCACGCUUGGCUUCUGUCUCGCCAUAAACAGGCUUUGAGACUUGGUGAGCCUUUGCAUGCCUUCGAAAUUUUUCGAUACUUGGGGAUUCUGCUCGCCUUCGCGUGGUCGAGCAGAUCCUGGCACGCUUGGCUUCUGUCUCGCCAUAAACAGGCUUUGAGACUUGGUGAGCCUUUGCAUGCCUUAGAAAUUUUCACAAUUUCAAGUGAAUGAAAUUUCUCGACGUUCCAUUAAUUGCAGGAUUCAACUUACAUGAAAUUGUUUGGUCAUAAAAUAAAUAACAGCCAAUACGAACAAAAAGAACUUGAAAAUAUUAACAACUCUUACUGGAAAUAUUUCCUGAGAUGUGCUGUGUUCCAUGGGCGCUUCACCUCGUGGCCAUCCAUGCGAACCAGCUUGUAAGCUCCUGGUCCAACUAGCUGCUUGACUCUAUAUGGCCCCUCCCAAUUCGGACCGAGCACUCUUUGAGUCGAGUCUUUGGUGUUUUGAUUCACUCUCCUUAACAUCCAAUCUCCGACCUUGAACUGCCGUAUGUUCACCUUCUGGUUAUAAUACCGGGCAACCCUCUGCUGGUAAAUAACUGAUCGCUCGGCUGCUUGCUGCCUCUUUUCCGUUAGCAGAUCAAGAUUCAAACAUAUCUGCUCGUCGUUCUCCUGCUCAUUGAAAUGGUUUGUCCGGUGUGUGGUCGUUCCUAUUUCAGCUGGCACGACCGCUUCAAGUCCGAAAGCCAAGGCGAACGGUGUCUCUCCAGUUGCUAUUUUGUGGGUUGUUCUGUAUGCCCAUAGCACACCUGACAGCUCAUCAACCCAUGCACCCUUUUUUGCUCCAAGCCUGGUUUUCAAAAGCCUCUUAAUGGUCUUGUUGGAUGCUUCUACUUGUCCAUUCGAUUGAGGGUGAGCAGGCGAGCAAUACUUCAGCUCUAUCCCGAGGUUCUGGCAGAAAUCCCUGAAGCUGUGAUUAUCGAACUGCCUGCCAUUAUCCGUUACCAAGGCAUAAGGGAUCCCGUAUCGACAGACCAGGUUUCUCCACACAAAGUCCGUCGUUUUCUUCUCUAUAAUCCUGCUAAGGGCUUCGACCUCUAUCCACUUCGUGAAGUAAUCUAUAGCAACUAUUGCAUGCGUUGCUGCUCCUCGUCCCUUUGGCAGCGGGCCGAUCAGAUCAAUUCCCCAUUGAGCAAAUGGCCAAGGGGAGGCCAUAGAGGUGAGCUUCUCUGGUGGUUGGUUGGGGAAUCUUGCAAAACUCUAGCAGCUUACACAUCUCCUUGUCUUCUCCUGUGCAUCCUGGUGCAUUGUCGGCCAGAAAUAUCCCUGCCUUAGAACCUUGUGGGCCAGGGAUCUUCCACCAGAAUGAUUCCCGCAAAUUCCUUCAUGUACUUCUCUCAGUACAUAAUCUGCAUCGUCCUCAUCCAAACAUCGAAGGAAAGGUAGUGUAUAUCCUCGCCGAUACAGCACCCCAUCAAUCAUCGUGUAUCUCGAGGCCUGGGCUCUAAUCUUCCGAGCUCGCAGCUUAUUUGGUGGUAAUACCCUGUCUCUAAGGUAUGAAACUAUCGGGUCCAUCCACGAGCAUUUUUGUUCUAUCCGCAGCACCUUUAAAUUCUGCUCAAUGCUCGGGCUGGACUUCACCUUCAGAGGGAUCGACUUUGGCAUUUUUGGGUCUGCUACCGCUGCCAUCCUGGCCAAAAUAUCUGCUCGGCUAUUCUGCUCCCUCGGGAUUUGUACCACCUCCACCGCUUCGAAUUUCCCCAUCAUCUGCCUGACUAUCUUCAGGUACUGCUCCAUCUUCUCCUCUCUCGGUUGGAAUCUUUCACUGACAUGAUUCGCAACCAGCUGGGAAUCAGUUCUGAUCUUCACUCUAUCUGCUCUCACGGCCUUAGCCAGUUCCAAACCUGCUAUCAAGGCUUCAUACUCUGCCUGAUUAUUUGUUGCUGCGAAUUCUAACUUUACAGCAUAAGAGAUCUCCUCCCCCUCCGGUCCUUCCAGUACAAUCCCUGCUCCCCUGAUGACCCAUCUACAGACAUUUGCCAUACUUGAGCUUCGCCACUGUCUACAAAUCGGCCAUUGCCUGAGCCUUUAUCGCUGCUCGGGGUUUGUAGUCUAUGUCGAACUCGCUCAGCUCUAUAGCCCACUUGACGAGCCGACCAGAAGCAUCUGGCUUGUGCAGAGUUUGACGCAAUGGCUGGUUUGUUAUUACUGAGACUGGGAAUGCCUGAAAAUAUGGCCUCAACUUCCGAGCAGCAACCACAAGGGCAAGUGCCCAUUUCUCCAACAGUGGGUAUCUGGUCUCAGCGUCGAGCAGGGCCUUGCUGGUGUAGUAUAUCGGAUACUAAACUCCUUCUUCCUCUCUCACCAGAACAGAACUGGCGGCCCGAUCCGAUACCGCCAAAUACAGAUAUAACUUGUCCCCAUCCCUCGGUGUGGACAGCAGUGAAGCCUACUGCAAGUAUUGCUUCAAGUUCUGGAAGGCUUCCUCGCAUUCUGGGGUCCAUUCUGUUUUCUUUCCCCUCCUUAUCACUUGAAAGAAUGGCUAACACUUAUCCGUAGCCUUGGAUAUGAAUCUGCUCAACACCGCCAACCUCCCCGUGAGGCUCUGCAUCUCCUUCAGGUUACGAGGAGACCUCAUCUGCACAAUCGCCUGGAUUUUCUCGGGAUUUGCUUCAAUCCCCCUAUGGCUCACCAUGAAUCCAAGGAAUUUUCCUGACUCAACCCCAAAAGCACACUUCUCCGGGUUGAGCUUCAUCUUAUACUUCUUCAAAAGCCCGAAUGUCUCCUCGAGGUGUCUGACAUGUUCCUUCGGGAUUUUAGACUUGGUGAUCAUGUCAUCCACGUACACCUCCAUGGUUUUCCCAAUCAACGGCUUAAAGACUUUGUUCACCAGCCUCUGAUAGGUGGUCCCAGCAUUUUUGAGACCAAAUGGCAUUACUCUGUAACAGAACAAACCCUGGUUAGUGAUGAAAGCCGUGCUCUCCUCAUCCUGCUCGUACAUGGGGAUCUGGUUGUAUCCCGAGAACGCGUCCAUGAAGCUAAGCAGACCGUGUCCAGCCGUUGAAUCUACUAGCUGAUCGAUCUUUGGCAAAGGGAAGCUGUCUUUUGGGCACGCCUUAUUAAGGUCUGUGAAAUCUACACACAUCCUCCACUUGCCAUUUGCCUUCUUUACCAACACCACAUUCGAUAUCCAUUCAGGGUAAUUGACUUCCCGAAUGAACCCUGCUCUCAAGAGCUUCUCCACCUCGCCAUUUAUAGCCUCGUACCUCUCCUGGUUAAAGCACCUCAUCUUCUGCCUUACUCGAGCACCUUUCUUUAUUGCCAGCUUAUGACAUGCUACCUCAGGGUCAAUCUCUGGAAUGUCUUCAUGUGUCCAAGCAAACACAUCUGCAUUAGCCUGUAAGCAUUUCACCAACUCCUGUUUUUGCUCUCCCUUAAGUCUCGACCCGAUUUUGAUUGUCUUUCCCGGAUUCUCUGGUCCCAGGCUUACUGUUUCUAGAUCCUCUACAGGUUCUUGUCUGUCAUUCUUAUUUUCCACUCGGGUAUCGAGGGAUGUUAUCUGCAUUGCUUCUCUUGCUGCCGAGGAGUAGCAGCUUCUUGCGAUCCUCUGGUCUCCUCGUACCACUCCUACUACCCAUUCACCCAGUACUUCAGAGCCAGAUAAUGGUUGGACAGCACCGCUUUGCUCAUCCUCAGAAAUGGCCGGCCUAGGAUCAUCUGGUAAAGACCUUCUUCGUCUACCACCACAAAGUCCAGUAUCAUUGUCCUUUCUGUCGGGAAGCUUCCAAUCGUGAUAGGCAGCUCGACCACGCCUAGAGGGACCAGCUUUCCUCCUCCAAACCAUUUCAAGGAGGUAUUGGUAUAUUCCAACUUCCGGUCUGCUAUUCCCAUCUCCUCCAAGGUUGACUUAAAUAACACAUCAACUGAACUUCCUGUAUCAACCAAUAUCCGGUCAAACUUCUUGCUAGCGACAGUAGCCUUGAUGACUAACGCAUCCUCGUGGGGGUAUAGAAUUCCUUCCUCAUCUUCAUUCGUCCACAUGAUUGGCACUUGCCUGACCCUUGCUCGUUUGGCUGCUGGGGUGUUGAAGAAUACCUCUUUGCUGGUCAUGGCGUAUCUAGCAUAAUUCUUCCUCGACCUGUUGGAAUCUCCGGCCAAUGUUGGGCCCCCAGCUAUAACCCUUACUGCAGGCUGCUCGCGCCUCAAGUUCCUGUCACUCUGCUCCCCUUCACUUGUUGAGGCUACCAUUGGGAAGGUCCCAUCUACAAACUCGUCCAAAUACCGGUUUCUCACCAGAUCUUCAACCUGGGUCUUGAGAUCUCUGCAAUCUGCUGUGGUGUGGCCAUGAGUGCCAUGGAACUUACAAUAGUGUCCCCUAUCCCUCAUGCUGGGUAGCUUUGUUAUUGGAGCAGGGAGGUAUAGCAGCCCCCGAUCCUUUAUGGCCUCGUACACCUCGUCCAGGGACAUCUUCAAGGAAGUAUACCGCCCAUAGUCCUAGUUCUGGUCGAUCAGGUGCACUGCUCUUUCUCUAUUUGCUCCGUUCUGAGUUGGAGGCGGUGGCAGUACUUCUGGUCUGCUCCCUCUACUACUGUGGGGGUGUUGAUGACCACUAUAUGUUGAAUCAUGCCUUCUCCAAGGCUCCCUAGCUGGGGAACGAGGAGGUUGCACCCUGCUGCGCUGAUACUGAGGUGGCCUCUGAUGAGGCUGGUAAGCAGUUACCCUACCUUCUGCUCCACUACCUGCGGCCUGGUGGUCCCUCCUUUUGAUCGGCUCAUUCCCUGGUAAUACUUUCUUCUCUUUCCUCCCCAACCCUUCUAACUGGUCUGUCUUAAUCCGUGCUGCCUUUUCCUCUUCAAUCUCUAUGUCUCUCUUAACCUGCUCGUAUGCAGUUGCAUACGUUUGAACAGCUGGGCUCCUCAAGUUGUACCACAGCCUUCGUAUCUUCACUCCCUCUUUCAAACCCCUUAGUGCCUAAGGAUGGUUGAAGGCUCCCAAAUCAAGGACAGCACGAUGAAACCUCUUGAUGAAUUCCCUAAGGGUUUCUUGCUCCCCCUGCUUCAUGCUUUUCAACUCCAUCAUAUCAUCUUCUGGUGCCAUUGCCCCACGAAACUGCUCUGCAAACUCCUUGCACAUCUGCUCGAAGGUUUUAAUGCUCCCCCGAGGGAGUUUCCUGUACCACUCGCGUGCACGUCCCUCCAGGGAUAGUGGGAACACCCUGCAUCUUUGGGGUUAAGAUAAUCCUUGUACCCCCGUUAUGUCAUUGAAGCACUCUAUGUGCACCAGCGGAUCAGUUCGUCCCGAAUAUCUAAGGUCCGGGAGGCGGAAAUCUCUCGGAAUAACUGCCCUUAUGAUCUCUGCUGCGAGCGGUGAUUCUCCGUCCAGCAUUAUCCUCCAACCAGGAGCUCUGCUCCUUUCUUGCAUGUCGUCAAUUAUCUGCGCUAGUCUGCACACUUCCUCCUCCAACUGCACUGCACGACCAGGGUCACGUGCUGCAACUUGAUCCCGCUCUUGCUCUACAUCAUGCAAGUGUUGUCUCAACUCUGUUUCCUCUACAUUCGCCACCCCGUCGUCCUCGUCAAAAAUCUAUCUUGCUGGGGAUUGCUCUUCCUCUCUAUGAAAUUCUCCCCGCAGAGGUAUGUUACCCCUCUCACCACCAAAUCUCCCGUGGUUUGACUUCUCCUCGUACUAUCGGGACCUGGUGCCACUCCACCACCUCUCACCCUGUCCUCCUGAGUUACCCUUCGUUCACUCCGCAGCUCAUGCAGGAUGGUUGUCAGGGUCUCCAUUUGCUUUUCCAUCCGUUCCAUCCGGUUGAACAUGGUUUUUUUCCCGUGCUUCACUGGCUAUCUCCCUCAGCGUCACGGAAUCGUUAACCCUCAUAUCACCCCCUUGUGCACUACUUCCUCCUGUCUCCAUUGCUUUUCACUUGCUUCACUCCUCUUCUUGCUAUCAACAGAAGCUUUUUGUUUAGCUCCCCACAGACGGCGCCAAAAUGUUGAUGCGAGAUUCUGGUUACGCCCUUCCAACGACCAAGAUGUCUGCUCGAUCAACCUCACCUCGAUCAGGAUCUCUCCUCGUACGCUUUCUUCUCUAAGUAUCCCUGCGUCCACAGAAACAAGUCAGAGCACGCCGGUUGGUUUCCCGGCGUAAACCCUCCGACGCUCAAGUCAGAUAUGAAGGCUCUGGGAACGCUCGCCACAAAUCUUAUGGCUUUUUGGUUGUUUUCCCUUUUUUAGAAUUUCCUUUAUCUCUGUUCUAAUCUCAAAAUUGCUAACCCUUUUACCUUCGUUGGCUACCUUUUUAUAGGUCACUUUUGAACUCGGGCCUCCCCUCCAUUCGCGCUCAUUACCCUCCCACCUCUCAAAAGUGGAUUCCCCAUUUCCGUAGUCGUGGGUGGUUGCGUGGCCCUCAUGCCUAGAUUCUCGGACUGGAAAGCAUGCCUUGCCAACUGUCGUUGACCGGGUCUCCUCGACUCAGCCCUUAGCAGGAAUACAGCAGGAAUGGCUUUAUGCUUCUUACAGGAGAUUGGCCUCGCGGAUGACGUGCUCGUGGGUAAGCAGGGUAUUCUUGCUCCUGCUCCUCCGGAUACCAGGCUCUUACGGGACACACCGGUUCGCAGAGCUCUGCCAUCAGAUAUCUGCUCAUCAUGCUUGGUCUCGUCGACGUAUUUCUCCCAAACAGAUAUUUUCUUAUUGUUGGCACAAAUUUUCCUUUAAGUCAAAUUGGAAUAGAUGUUUGUGAGAUGCCUAGACUUGAGAAUUUGUUAUGAUUAUAUGCAUUAAAGCUUUCGGUAGACCCUUGAAAUCUUAUGAUCAAUGUAUUAGAAAUUUAGAAUUGGGGUUUAUAAGAGCUAGUUUGAUCAUGUUAUAACUUUUAUAAUUAUUGUUGCUAAUUCUGUUAUAGAAAUAAUUAAUCAGUUGUAAAAAUGAUUAGUUAAACAUUUGGUAAAUUUUAUUUUUAAAAGCAUUAUGACUUUUAAAAGCAGACGUACGUACUUAGUAAAUCUCACUUUUAAAAUAUUAUAAGAAUGCAAAAGGUUUAAAUAUAUAUAAAUUUAUAAAAUUUAUUUACACAUGCAUUUAUAGAUACAUGUAUAUAUAAUAAUUGAUAACUAAAAUAAAGAUUUUUAUUUUAUUAAUUUUUUUUUGUUAUCUAAAAAAAGGUAAUAAUAAUAUCUUUAAUGACGUAUUUAUUAAUCAGUAAUCGGAAUGGACUUGAAUCAAAAUGGAGGAAUGGAAAUCGGAAUAAAUUGUUUACUUUAACUAUCAAAAUUGGAAUCGUAAUGAACUGUAUUAUCACUUAUAUAUUUAUUUUAUCUGAGAAUCAGAAUGGAUUGUUUUAAAUUACUAAACUGGCCUUAUUAUUAUUAUUAUCAUUAUUAAAUAAGGUAAAAAGGAAUUUUCAAUUUUUACUGAAGUAAAAAUAUCAAUUCACUUCUCAUUCUCAGCCCUAGGGAAUGGGACUCCCAUUCCACAUUCUAGAAUUUAUGGAGUCCACUCAAAUUUUCAUUCCCAUUCCCCCUCCUUGUUUUGGAAGUAAACAGGUUAAUAGUUCUAUUCUCUCAUUUCUACUCCCAUUCUCAUUCUCAGGUACUAACACACCAAGGUAUUCGGUUCGGUUUUUGCCCAAUAGAACUGAAAUUAUUCGGUUUGGUUUGAUUUGGUUUAAUAAAAAAGCCAAAGGGUUUAUAUUUUUAUGAACCGAAUGGUUUGUGUUCGAUUCGAUUCCAAAAUUGAACCGAAAGCACAAACCAAUCGGUUCACGUAAUUUUAAUUAUUUUUAGAAAAAGAAAAACCAAAACUAAAUCGUAGAAUGUGAUUCCCUAAAAUCUAAAUCCCUAAUUCUCCUAACUAACUAAAACUAAGCACAGAACAGCACAACCACAACAACCUAGCAAGCGCAGCGGUAGCCCCUCUCUCACGGAACCACGCUCACUCUCAAGUAUAGCACGACAAUAGGGCUCUCUCAUGCAAUGAUAGGUAAUUUCUUAGUUUAGAAGGGAAAGUCAGAGAAACAGAGGAAGAAUAUAAGUUGAUUAAAAGGGAAAAGUCAAUUCUUAUUCCAAAAACUUGCUUAGUGCAAGUUCAAUAAGGUCUCUUAAAUAGACCUAUACAUAUAAUAAAAACUAGAAAACUAGAAAAGACGAAAAUCACUUGAAAAUAAAAAGCAUGAUCACUUAAAUGGUAAACAUACAUAACCGCCAUGAACUACAUGCAACCUAAGUCAAAUAAUCAACUGAAGAAACUUGAUCCCCAUGCAUAUUGAGCACAUACCAUUCCCCACCCUUUAGAAACACCUUGUUGGUGCGGUCAAAGUGAGGGUGAGCCUUCGAGAAUCGCCAUCGGUUCCAAUGAGUGUCCUCAAUUGCUGCUCCUAUCCCUUUAACCAGUAUUGAGUUGUACGAAUGGCACAUGAUCUUCAAUCAUGAAUAGUUGCAGCUUUUAACAACAGUGUGAUACAAACAAAUAAAAUAAUUAAAAUUAUUUAUUUAAUUUUAUUGUAUUAGUUAAUUUUGAACUAGUCAAAAGUAGUUGCCCUUAUUUUGUGGAACUACAUGUAAUUAGUAGAGCAUUAUGUGAGAACAUGUUUAGUGUUACUAAUUUUUAGGUUGUAAUCCUAAAUAAGCUUUUAUUAUAUAAAGCUUGAUGUUAUUCAAUAAAAAGGAUCAUGAGUUUAUUAUUUUGGCAACAUAAAAGUUGUAAUUGGGAGUUUAUUGAUUUCUCGAAUAACCAAUACUUAUUUGGAGGUUUGGAUUUCCUUGAAUUAACCCCAUUUGUCAUCUAAUUUUUCUAUUUCAUUUGAUUUCUUCUUAUAAACUUUAGUGUUCGUAUCACAAUGGCCAAGAAUAAGUUUCUCGUCACAAUAAUAACACAACCCUUUUCCACGAUGAGCAUGUGCUUCUUAGUUGGAUAGUUGCUGGAUAGGAGGGGAAGUGAUGUCAUCUGCUAUUUGAUCAACCUUAGGAGGUAGACCUAAGACCCUAACAAAGCUAUUUGGGGUUGGUUGCUAUAUCACCAAAAUAGGGGGUGGUAGAGAAAAGUGACUGGUGCAUUGAGAAAGUGAAUUCCGCUCCUCAAUCAGUCUUGUCACACCAAUGGUGUUAGCCAAGGUAAAGGGCUAUUUAAUCUUGACAUCUAGUUGUAUCUCAUCCUGAAGACCUACAAUAAAACAACCCACAAAAAAUCAUUCGAGUAAGCCAUCAACCUGAUGUAAAAGCUUUUCAAAAGUUUCUUGAUAUUAAGCUAAUAAUGGAAGUCUAUUUCAGGUGCAUCAAAGCCUUAGAUGGGUCCUCAUAAUCCAUUAGUUCGAAUCGUAGAAGGACUGCCUUUGAAAAUUUUGCCUAAGUUAGUAGGCCACAAAAUUUUAUUAACCAUCUAUGCAAUUAUAGAGCAAUCCCCUCCAAAUAGAAUGAUGCCAAUUGUAUUUAUUGUUCUGGGACUACAUUCUCAAAUCCGAAGAAUUGUUCCACCUUAUGAAUCCAAUCAGUCGAAUCUUCUCCGUUGAAAUUUGGAAAGUUUAGUUUGAGAUGGUGGUGAUGGUUGGGAAAGUUUAAGGAGGAAGGUUUUAUGGCUUGGUUAGAGGAUGCUGUAGCCUGUAGGUGCAAAGGGGUUAAUUUCAGAGGCAAUUACGUGUGAGGUUUAUGAUGCACGAAGAGAUUGAAGAUUUCUUGAACCUCAUUACGAAACUCAGCAUUUGAUUGACUUGGGGUAGCCAUAUUUCGAGCAACCUUUGUUUGAUACCAGAUGAUAGGUAAUUUCUUAGUUUAGAAAGGAAAGUAAGAAAAGUAGAGGAAGAAUAUAAGUUGUUUAGAAGGAAAGAGAUAAUUUUUAUUCCAAAAGCAUGCCCAGUACAAAUCCAAUAAUUUCUCUUAAAUAAACUUAUACAUAUACCAAAAAUUAAAAAACUAGAAAAGAAGAAAAUCACUUGAAAAUAGGAACAUGAUCAAUUAAAACGGUAACAUGUACAACUGCCACAAAUCAAAACCAAUCGAUUUUAAAUAGAAUGAAUUGAAAUCAAAUCAAACCAAACCAAACUAAAUCGAACCGAACCGAAAUAUUAGGUUCGGUUCUAAAUUUUGGUUUGAUUUUGGUUCGGUUCUAAAUUUUCGGUUCGAUUCUAACUUGUUGUUUUAACACCACGAUUUCUGUUCGUUGAAAGUAUCUUCCUCGUCGCCCAAAAUUCAUCCCACUUGCAGCUCAUUCUCUCAUGCAAUCCCUCAUCUUCUGUAGUAAUUUGAUUGCUCUGAUAACUAUAAGCAAUAAACCACUGCCCAAGAACUUUUGCCAAGAACAAUUCAAGAUGAAAAUAAGCCAAUGAUUGAUUUAAAGUUCCAAUGAUGAAACGAAACAUUAGCUCUAGGUUAAUGGAGAUUUAACAGAAGAUUAAAAAAAAUCAAGAUUGCACAGCCUCUUUAUACUCUCUUAUGAAAACAAAUCAAGUUCCAAUCUGCUUCAACAACCAGCCUCUUUAUACUCUCUUAUGAAAACCCAGAUUGCACAGCCCUUUGACACGUGUGUAACGGCUUCUAACGACUUGAUUCCUCCCUCACAUGCUAGCUCACGUGUUUUACUUAAGUUUCCUGAAAACGACACAAAGCAAUGCCGUUCUGCCUUAAGCUGAGGAGCCCGUGACUGCACGUGAGUUGUAAGUAAUUCCAGCUGAUCAAAACGCAGCCGUUUUGGGGCUCUGAGUUUUGAAUUCAUAACACUCCAGUCCACAUCUUCCUCACCCGCUAACAUAAACAAAGCACAAAACAAUUCCAAUCUCAGAAUUAAGAUCAUACUCAGACAAAUCCUUAAUCCAAUCAGCGAUCUAUCGUCUACUGCGAGCUAAUCGAGAGUGCCAUCUAAUUCGAGGUGGCUGAGAGACCGUGAGAGUGAGAUGUUGAUCAGAGAUAGAGAGAGUGAGAGUGAGCGUGGUUGCGUGAGUGUGGAAGAAAGGGGCUGCUGCUGUGCUGCGUUUGAGAGUAAGCAUGGUUGCAUGAGAGAGAGAGAGGGGCUGCUGCUAUGCUGUGCUUGAGAGUGAGGGUGGUUGCAUGAUAUCUGCUCAAUAUGUAUGGGAUGAAGUUUCUUCAGUUGGUUAUUUCACUUAAUCAAAAUAAAUUAUAGUAGUGGUUGCAUGCCUGACUUUGGAGGUAAGGCUAGAGGCAAACUUCUACAUUUAUAACUUGUUUCACAACAAAUUACGGUUAUAAAUGAGACUUAAUCCAAAGACGGAAAGAGAGAAAUUUGCUAUACUGUUUAGUAUCCAUUAUUGAGAAAAACACCAAAAUUAACUUUUACCUCUUUAAAAUCACUUUUGAAACCUCCCAAAAGAUAUCUCAAAUGGGUUCUCAAUUUUUUAAAACAUUACUUUUGGCUAAACACCCCAUCCUCCAGUAGAUUUUGAAAAUGUCAAAAUGUAUAAGACACUCAUCCAGUGGGGGUUUCACAGGCUUACCUCUCUUAGAAGUCUCUGCAUUCUUGGAUGUCAUGAAGCAGAGUGUUUUCCAGACGAGAAGAUAGGAAUGACGCUGCCCAAGUCUCUAACUUGUCUGUCCUUUCGAGGAUUCAAAAACACAUUUAAGAAAUUAGCAAUUUGUUGUUAGUCACAGUAUCUGACGUUCUUUUCUUUUAUAGUUUGCAGAAUCAACUGUAUUAUAUAUGUUGUCAUUUGCAGUAUCUGAGGUGCCUUUUGCAUUUUACUUGACCUUUAUUUGUUUUACUAGUGACUGAAGAAUACCAACAUUGGUUAGAGAUUUGGAGAAGCAUCUGAAGAGGCUUGACAAAGUUGGAGAUGCACUUGCUCCCAAGCCUUCAAUCAUCACAAUGCAAAUCCGAUGAGUACUUAUGCCUGCAAUUAUGUAAAAUAUUUGAAAUUUUGAUUCAGCGAAAUGGUUUGUUGAUGCAAAGCUUUAAACUGUUAAGACUUACCCAGCAGGCCUGUUGGAUGUUGUAUCAACUCCAAAAUCCAACAAGAACUAUGGCACCAAGACCCAGUUUUUACCGAUUCAAUCAGCUGAAAUGAUGAGGCAAAUCCCACGUAUUCGAAUCAAUCCAUUUCAUGAACUGUUAUUUUCAUGAUGCUUUCUAUUGGAGUUGAAGAGGAAACAAGGAUGUGUUGGAAUCAAUGAGAACAGUGGGAAGCAUGACUGGAGCUCUGAUUAUAAAUAGGCAUUUUAAAAACAUGUGCUGGUAAGUGGUAAUUAAAGAAAUUUGUGAGCUUAUUCAAGUUUCAGUAUUUGCUGUUUGGAUAAAGCUGAUACCAAGUUUGGCAAAAUCUGUGCUUUCUUUGUUCAAUCGGUGUUAUGGUUAAAGUAGAUGCUCUGAUUAAUAAGCCAGACUACGAUAGCUGGCUCUAAUAAUCGGCUUCCUUUUUCUUGUUUGCUGUUGUAUAUUCUUUCAAUUUUUUUUUCCGCAUUAGGACGAUCAGUUGAAGAACAAGUUUGUGUUUGACGAUGCAUUUAAGGAAGAGCCAGACUUGGAUGCAGAUCUGAAAAGGUUAGCAUGAAUGAAAACCUUCAGAACUGACUGAAGGUUUCUGAGUUGAUCCUAAAAAUGUAGCAGUUGUCUGUUUCAUAAAGCAGAACAAAAACAGAAUAAGAGAUCACUAAUCAUGCUUGAGAAUUCAUUUAAAUAAAAUUUCAAAAAUUGCCAAACACAGCCUAAACUAGGAUGCACUUGCUUAAGAUUCAUUUUCAGAAGGAAGGUUGUACUUGCAGCUCAUAAAAUCAUGUUUAUGUUGUAUGUUUAUUCAGCAAAUGAAAGAUUCCAAGUUUGCUGAAACCAUAUUAUUUUUUUACCAGGCGCCUUCUUGAAGGUAUCGACGUCAAUUUCAAAAAUGUUGGGGAUAAGUUGCUUGAUGCAAUGCUACACAAAUAUGAAGGAUUUCUUGUCGAUGAUUACUACCACCUCGAUAAAAAAAUUCAUGUAACUGGUCAUGCCGGCAAUAAAAGAAGGAAAGGUGGUAUACGUCGAAGACAUAGAUGAAGGCCUCGAGUCCAUCGGCCCUCGUUGGGCUAUUCACUUGUCGGAAUGUCAGGAAACAACUUGUUGAAGUUGCGUGGGAAUUUUAAAACUACCAUAUGUUGUAGAAAUGCACUGAGCCAUGUGCUUUCAGAGCUUUGUGAAGAUGUCUUGGCCAUGUGUUUGAUACAGGUUAUGCUUGUUCGAUUAAAUUGUACGCAGUUUUAAAUCAAAGAUUCAGAACAUGCGUAUGUUACUGGUUUCUAGAAUCCAGAUCAACAAAUGCCUCUAUGUAGAAGUUAAAAUUUUAAAUUUUUUUAAGUAGAGGUGUAGAGUUUCUUUUUUCAAAAAAGAAAAAGUAAAUUGUGGAGGCUAUCUUUAUUUGAUUUUACAAUCUUAUUUUAUUUAUUUCACGACAUAAUUUUAAAAUAUUUAUUUAGUAAAUUAUUAACAUCUAUACCACUAAAGAUUUUUUUGUUAAACGAUCUACUUACAAAGUUAUAUUAAUUAUAGAUUUACUCAAAGAAGCCCUAUUAAAAAAGUUAUAGCAAGUAAAGCUCUCUCUCUCGAAUAGAGAGGCGGGAAUGGAAGUAUUGAGGGGUCGUAAGGACCCAGGUGUUCACUCCUUGGGAGUGUAAAGUAGAUCAUCAACUUUGGUUUUUUAGUUUUAGUGCGGUUGGCUAGGCUCUCUGGGGAAGCAGAGAGUUUUCUCGGAGGAAGGGCUAGGUAGUCAUUAUUGUUUGCUCAUCCUCAUUCAUUAGCUGCCAUGGAUACGGACGAAUUAAUUCGAAAAUACAAAGCAAUAACUAUCCGAGAGGAAGAUAAAGCUAGAGUGACGUUGGAGGUGGACUUGAAAACUAAGAAAGAGGGAAUGCUAGCAGGAUGUUUAAUGGGUAAAGUCCUUCUCUCGAGAGGAGUUAAUAAAGGAUGGAUAAUGACUAUGGGCCAAUACAUCCUUAGCUUCUUUUCCGCUGAGCAGAGAAAUUUUUUGAAGGGUAUAAAAAAUAGCUAUAACCUAUUUACAUUUUAAAUUUGAAUCAACGGUCAAACAUAAUUUUAAAUUUUUUGAAGUAGAGGUGUAGAGUUUCUUUUUUCAAAAAAGAAAAAUAAAUUGUGAAGACUACCUUUAUUUAAUUUUACAAUCUUAUUUUAUUUCUUUUACAAUAUAUUUUUAAAAUAGUAAAUUAUUAACAUCUAUACCACUAAAGAUUUUUUUGUUAAUCGCUCUACUUACUAACACCGGACACAAUAGAUGAGAAAACACAACGUCACACACCCAAGAAAUCACAAGCUCACCACCACAACAAACAACAAAAGGAUACAGAAAAAAAUCCACCACCUAAAGUUGUUAAGCUAAGGAUACAGGGCUUAAAAUACUCACCACUCAAUGGAAUCCACCAAAGAGAUACAGAGUUUGAUAAUAACUCAAAGUUCAUCCAAUCCCCAAAAUUAAUCUCUGUCUUUUGGUUACAACUACAUAAGCUUAAAUAACUUUCUCGGAACAAUCCUCCAAGUAUAGAUAUACUACAGAGAAACCCUUCAAAUGACUUGACUUCAAAGACCAACAUUAAAGCUAGACAUGAAUAAAACAUUGGUAUGCUUAAAACACAACAAAGAGCAUUAAAAAAAAGUCCCAAGUCCAGAAAUAUUCUUCUUGACUCAAAACUGAACAGUCUGCACUUAACUGAAUAUAACUUACUGUAGAAAGCUCCAAAUUUAGAUUAGUAAAAUUCAUUGGAAAGCUAACAGAAAUAUCUUUCCAAUGAUGUAUGGGUCGAAAAUUAAUUCGAUCUCAUGCAGUACAGUUUAAUUCCCAAAGAUUCCCCUUCUGCACAGAAAUUCUGCUUACUUGAUUAAUGUAAGAACUUGAACUGCACUUGGUAUAACUUGAAUACCAAAUAUUUCAAACACCCCUGUGUUACUUACAAAGUUAUAUUAAUUGUAGAUUUACUCAAAGAAGCCCUAUUUAAAAAGUUAUAGCAAAAAAAGUCCUAGUUACCUUUAGUUAAUAAUAAUCUUCUAAUCUGUCUUACAACGGACUUUUGACAAAAGUGUGCUACUCCCACCUCUUCAAAGUCCACCCGACACCACGUCUUCUCUAUUUAAAAUUUUCUAUAGUUGAAAAUUAUAUUUUCUUUUACUUGACGCCCCUCCAAAUUCUAAAACUUAGCUUCGAUGAACUUUCUUCGUUAAAUCUCUUUGCUUUACUUUAUUCUUGUUACUUGAGAAGAAGAGCCAGAGUCUAGAAGAAUGAAAGAAAAUUCAACGAGAUAGAAAUUUAGAAAUUUCAUCCGAUCCUUUUUUUCUUCAAUUUUUUGGUAUUUUGAUUCGUUCAAUGGAUUCUUGAUCAUUAUUCAUUCUUUCUAGUUUCUACCAUGAUUCGGAAAUUUUUCUUAAAAAAACUACUACUCUUGUGUAUUUAAAAAAAAAGGAAAGAAAGAAAAAAGGCAUUAAUAAAGAAUUGUGCACGUAACAUUAUUAGUACCUUGUUGAUUGGUCGUUUGGUCUUCAAGAAAUGUUAGUUGAUAUAUGCUUGAAAUUAUAUUCUGCUUUUUUUUUUCCUAUGUAUUGUUUCCCGUUUGAUUACAUUUCAAACAUUUUUAACACGAAUGAAUGCUUUAACCAUUUUUGUCACUUCAUUAUUACAAUAAGCUGAUUGAAGUUAUCUGCGUUGGUCCUGAAAAUGUAAUGGACACUUCUCUGUUUGAAUAAAACAGGACAAAACAUUGAUAUUUCUACCAUUGCCAUACAUAGUAUAGCCUAGGAAUACAUUUCCAUAAUUAAUAUUUAUUUCAGAAGGAACUUUUCACUUGCAGCUAACAAAAAAAAAUUGGGAGAUGAAAGAUUCGCUGCAUUACCAACACUUCUCUGUUGGUUUAUUACUUAAAAGUUGGGAGAUGAAAGAUUCGCUGCAUUAUUUUAUUCCAAGUUUGCGGAAAUCAUAUUUGUUUUCCCGGCUGCUUUCCUGAAUGUAUCGACAUCUAAGAUGCUUAAAAUGUCGGGGGUAAGAUGCUUGGUGCAGUGCUACUCAACAUGAGAAUUCAUCUUCUAACUCGUUACCUGAUAUUAUUGUCUUCUUGAAAAUUUAAUUAAGCUUAGAAGUCCCUCAACCACAAAAUCAAUGGAGUUUAACUCCAUCGAUACACAACUUUUAAGUAAUAAACCAACACAUGAGUUCAUCUCUAUUGAUACUCAAGUUCUAAGUCCCUUAUUCAAUACUAAAAUCCAUGAGAAUUAAACUAACCGUAGUUUAACAUGUGAUUAACAAAUGUUAAAAGGUUCAAAAAAUACAUCAAUUAUAAAAGAAAUAAAAUCAGCAAAGAGACCACAUCAGAAAUUUCUUAGAUGUCCGAAACUAUUAAAAGAAUUCACAUACCAAAUCAAAAAAAGUAGAAAAUGCUUAAGCUUCUUAAGGUAAUUUGAAGUAUGAAAGUGAAUGGCAUAUAAUCCAGUAUAAAAAAAAAUGGUUUUAGUGCCGUACAAAGAGAAGUUAAUGGUGGUUACAGAAGUGGGGAAAGUUGGGUACAAAUCAGAUAAUGGGAGGCUCCUAAACUUCCUUAAAUCAAUUUUAAUUUCAAAAAUAAAAUAAUAAUAAAUAAAAAAUAAAAAAUAGCAUAAAAGAAAUAAGAUAAAAAUUACUUUUCUAAAAUUGCAUGCAAGUAUACAAAAAUAACAUAUGUUGAUAUUACAUCGAGAAAGGUCCAUCAGCCCUAGUUGGGCUAUUCGCUGCGUAGAAUGUCGGAGAACAACUUGUUGUGGUAGCUUGGGAAGCAAAUGUGAAUGUUUCUUUCUAGAGCGGAUUCCCUGCAAUCUUACUCGACGAAUGAAGUUGUAUCUCUUAAUUGGAAUUGAGAUUGGACAACUGAAGCUUAAAAAUAUAUUACUAAAGUAGUUAGUAAAUAUUAGUUGCUGUAGUGUAGAAACUAACUUGAUUCAAUUUCAUACUUAUAUGAAAAACCUGUAAUAUCUUUACUAUUUUUAUCAAAAUUACUAUUUAAAAAUUGCAACUUCUACACGGUGUCAAAUUUUAUUCCAUAAUUACACAUUUCUUCAUAGCAGUUAUAGUUUAAAAAUUACAAUACUUCAAUACCAAAUAGAGCCUUCAUCGCUGUAUUCUUUUCAAUUGAUCUAUUACAUUUUGUUUUCAAUGGAGUGACGCAAAAUUUGCCUUCUGUCUUAUUGUUAAAGAGGAGAAUUUAGAGUGGCUUUUUGCUGUUAAAAAAUAGCCUAACGUAAGAAUAAUGAAUGAAUAUCCACAAGCUACUGUAUUAUAUGUUGUUAGAGGAUGUAAAAAUGAGGAGACUAAAGAUACAUUUAAAUUUCAAGGAACAUUUAUUAGAAGUAAAUUUCCUAUGACCCUACAGGUGACUAAUUAAUGGGAAAUUGACAAUGACAAAAGCAAAUUUAUGAGUUUUGUAGGCUGGCAUGCCUAUAUUAUAGCAUUGUUCGAUCAACUGCCACACCAAAUGUUUUUGACGAGAAAUAAAAACAUCAAGAUAUUGCCCGCUUGCCGUAUUCCACAUCGUGAAUUGUAUCUCUGUUCCUCAAUUUUCAGUGUUCCAUACAUAAAACCAUUUUCAGUUUCUCUUGUUAUCAAUUCAAUUUCUUGUUCGUGACGAUCUUGAUUCCUUUCUUUCUGGUAAAACGGAGCCAUGUUUGCUGUUGGAGAGGUCUUCCUCAACGCUUUCUUUCAGGUGUUGUUUGACAGGUUGGCUUCUCGUAAUUUGCUCAGCUUUGUGCGUCAACUCCAAGGCGGGGUUGAUUCGGAGCUCAGAAAGUGGGAGAAAAAGCUGAAGAUGAUUCAGGCUGUGCUUAGCGAUGCAGAGGAGAAGCAACUGACUGACGAGGCUGUGAAGAUGUGGCUAGACGAACUCCAAGACUUGGCUUAUGACGCUGAGGACAUUCUUGAUGAGUUUGGUACUCAAGCUUUGGAAAGCAAGUUGAUGGCGAAAAAUCAGGAUAGCACUGGCCAGGUUCUCAGUUUCAUACCGGCUAGUUUGAAUCCGAAUGCUAUUAUGUCCAAUUAUAGCAUGGGAUCCAAGAUUAAAGAUAUUACUAGCCGGUUGGAGCAACUCUGCCAAGAUAGAAUUGAACUUGGGCUGCAACGGAUUGCUGGAGGGGCAUCAUCACCUACUGCUGCUGCACACCAGAGGCCACCCAGUUCAAGUGUCCCAACAGAGCGUGAAGUAUUCGGAAGAGAAGAAGAUAAGGCCAAAAUUCUUGAUAUGGUAUUGACCGAUACCCCCAGUGAUCAUGCCAACUUUGUUGUAAUACCCAUUGUUGGCAAGGGCGGGAUAGGAAAAACAACUCUUGCUCGGGAGGUCUACAAUGACAAGGCCGUUGAAGAUUCCAAGUUUGAUGUAAAAGCAUGGGUUUGUGUCUCUGAUGUCUUUGAUAUUUUGGGCAUCUCAAAGGCACUUCUCGAGUCAAUCACCCGCAGGCCUUGUCUUCUAAACAAUUUAAAUGAAGUGCAGGUUGAGUUGAAAGUAGCUGUGGAUAAAAAAAGAUUCUUGCUGGUCUUAGAUGAUGUUUGGAACGAGGACUACAGCUUGUGGGUAGACUUAAAAGCUCCAUUCUUGGCAGCUGCACCAAACAGUAAGAUGAUCGUCACCACACGCAAUUCAAAUGUUGCAUCAAUAAUGGGACCAAUUGAACAUUAUAAUCUCAAGAGACUGUUAGAUGAUGAUUGCUGGUCCAUUUUCAUACAGCAUGCACUUGAAUCUAGAGAUCUUAACGCACAUCAAAUUUCAGAAUCGUUCCACAAGAAAGUUGUUGGCAAGUGUGGAGGCUUGCCCCUGGCAGCAAAAACAUUAGCGGGCCUUCUACGUACUACGAGGCAUGAUGCGUGGGACGAUAUCUUGGAUAGCAAACUAUGGGAUUUACCACGACAAAGUGACGUUCUCCCUGUGUUAAGAUUGAGUUACCAUCAUCUUCCGUCUCAUUUGAAAAGAUGUUUUGCUCAUUGUGCCAUCUUUCCGAAAGAUUAUGAAUUCAAUGAGAAGGAGCUGACUUUCUUAUGGAUGGCUGGAGGAAUUAUUCGACAGUCAAGAAAGAAUGAGCAGCUGGAAGAAUUGAGCAGCAAGUGCUUUCAAGAUCUAGUGUCGAGGUCUAUUUUUCAACAAACCAGCUCUGGUAGUGCUAAAUUUGUAAUGCACGACCUUAUCCAUGAUCUUGCUGAAUUGGUUUCUAGAGAAACCAUUUUCAGGUUAGAGGAGUCCACCAACUUGUCAUCAAGAAGAUUUGAAAGGGUUCGCCAUUCUUCGUAUGCCCGUGGUAGGCUUGAUGGUAAAUCUAAGUUCGAGGUUUUCAAUGAAAUUGAACAUCUACGAACAUUCUUGCCAUUAUGCAUAAGAGGUGGCGUUACUUCUGGUUAUAUAACUAGCAUGGUUCUCUACGAUUUGUUGCCGAAGUUCAAAAUGUUGAGAAUGCUAUCUUUACAAGGAUACCGUAUUGGUGAGUUACCAAUUCCAUUUGAAGAUCUGAGACUUUUAAGGUUCCUAAACCUUGCUGAUACUGACAUAAGAAGUUUACCUGAGUCAACAUGCGCAUUGUUGAACUUGGAAAUUUUGAUAUUAAGAAAUUGUUCCCGUUUGAUAAAGCUACCGCCCAAAAUGAUGAACUUGAUCAAUAUUCGUCAUCUCGAUAUAAGAGGUGCAAAUUUGUUGAAGGAGAUGCCAUUCGGAAUGAAAGAGUUGAAGAAGCUUCAAACAUUGUCCAAUUUCAUCGUGGGCAAGGGCGAAACUGCAUCUGGUUUGGAAGAUUUAGGAAGUUUAAACUUUGCAUUGCUGGAUUAGAGAAUGUGAAUAAUCCACAGAAUGCAAGAGAAGCCGCAUUAUGUGAGAAGCUCAAUCUUCAUGCAUUGACUCUAGAAUGGGGGUCUCAAUUUGACAAUUCUCGAGAUGUAGCAGUAGAAGAGCACGUGCUGGACAUUCUACAGCCUCAUAAAUGUAUAAAAAAGGUGGCAAUCAGGAACUAUGGUGGUGCAAGGUUUCCACUUUGGAUAGGAGAUCCGUUGUUCUCCAAGAUAGAAUUCCUUGAAUUGGAGAACUGUAACAAUUGUGUAUCUUUGCCAUCGCUUGGUCUAUUGAGUUCACUUAAGCACCUUGCUGUUAAAGGGAUGAAGAAGCUAAAAAGCAUAGAGUCUGAAGUUUAUGGGGAGGGUUUCUCAAUGCCUUUUCCAUCAUUGAAGAUUCUACGUUUUGAGAAUUUGCCAGAGUGGUGGCAUUGGGACACCGAUAUCAAAGGAAAUGUGCACGUUGAUAUAUUUCCUCGUCUCCAAGAACUUUCCGUUGUGAAAUGUCCCAAACUCUCUGGAAAACUGCCUGAGCUUCUGCCCUCCUUGGAGAUACUUGUUGUUAGUAAAUGUGAAAAGUUGGUAGUUUCAUUGUCAAGCUAUCCAAGGCUCUACAGAUUAGAGGUUGAUGAGUGCAAAGAACUAGUGUGCAGGACCCCAAUUGAUUCUAAGUUGAUAAAGUUCAUGACUAUUUCAAAUAGUUCAUUAGACAUGAUUGGAUGCAAGGGGAUGCUAUACGAUAGUCAAGCUGGCUCUUCACUGCCAAAACCCAUGACCACUACAAAUGUUUUGGAGUUUGGAAAAUUACUGGAGCCUGGAUUUCAGAUAUUAGAAACUUUGGUAAUUGGCAAUUCUGAACAGCUCAAG